rnacentral:lncRNA from 1 species
GGCAACAAGACGAUGAAGGAGCUGCUGGGCGGCAAGGGCGCGAACCUGGCGGAGAUGUCGAGCAUCGGGCUGUCGGUGCCGCCGGGGUUCACGGUGUCGACGGAGGCCUGCCAGCAGUACCAGGAGGCGGGGCGCUCCCUGCCGCAGGGCCUCUGGGACGAGAUCAUCGACGGCCUGGCGUGGGUGGAGGAGGAAAUGGGCGCCCGCCUCGGCGACCCGCAGCGCCCGCUCCUGCUCUCCGUCCGCUCCGGCGCCGCGGUAAUGCCAUGGCCAUGCCAUCCUUGUUCGUUUGGUUCAUUCGCCUGCUCGCUUCUGAUCGCUUUGCCUUUGUGUUAUGUGAUAUGCGCAGGUGUCGAUGCCCGGGAUGAUGGACACGGUGCUCAACCUGGGACUCAACGACGAGGUGGCCGCCGGGCUCGGCGCCAAGAGCGGCGAGCGCUUCGCCAACGACUCCUACCGCCGCUUCCUCGACAUGUUCGGCAACGUCGUGAGUAUCUCCUGCCCAUCUGUCCUAAUGACUCAUCAGCGCCUCGUCGGAUCGGAGACGAUCUCGCAUGUUAAGCUAGCUUGGUUGUUGAUCACUCUACUCGCUUACUUGUAUGACUAGCUAGCUUGGUAGGUAGCUUAGCUAGGCGGCCUAUGCCUAGUUGUGCGUGCAUCGACCCAUGAUCGCUUCCGCGGGUGACCCGCGUCCGUCCGAGACGACGGCGGCUGCGUCGCACGCUUGCGGCCGCCGCCGGGGGCCACCAGCGUCGGGGGUUUCGUCUGUUUUGCCAGGCAGGACGCAGGACGGUGGGAGAGUACUUGCAGCACAGUGCUGUGUUUUCUUGGGUUAACCGAACGUGUGGGGAUCAUUCGGCACGGUUAAGCCAGUGAACGUGCUCGAUGCCCCGGCGUUGGAGUUAACCAGUGAAGUGAUUGGGCCAAGCACCUUUGCUUUUUGCUGCCAAUAAUAGGCAAGGUCCAAAUCAGAGAAGCUUUUCUACCUUUUUUAUUUCUUCUUAAAAAGUAAAAAAAAUUUGCGGACCUAAAAAGAAUAAAAAAUAUUUUCCAACGCAAAUGGAGGAAGGAAGUUGACGGUUCAAGAAAGGAACACGGCGACGGCAUCGUUGUAUCAGGUAAGAGGAAUUCGCAGGUGUGUGCAUAUUCCCCUGCAGAAAUUUAACAUGGACGGAGCAGUAUAUACAAGGUCAUUGUCAGUGUUCAAGCUCAUGCUAGACAGCCCUGUACGGUAUGUCGGUUGUCGGAGGUACGCCUCGUUUGUGGGGCUGAAGGACCGAUGACGGCGGCGCCUGUCUUCACCAGCAGAGUUUGACACUCUUUCCACCCGGAAAAUGGGUACAAGACGAUGAGGAAAAGAAAGUUUCUUGAAACGCCAUAGAAAAAUAUUUUUUAAAAACAAUGAGCAUUUAAUAUGGUCAGUUGGGGGCUGAGGGGAGAAGGUUGGUUGGUUCAACCUGCACACACAAGUGAUGACAUCUGCUAUGGAGAUGCUCAACCAGAGUUGGUUUUGGUCAUCUGUAAUUAGUUUUUUCAAUGACACUUCUAACUAGAAUGCUCAAACAGAGUUUUGUUUGUACUAUAAGAUAAUUGUUCCUCAGCAGAGCCUUUCUUUACCACCAGGUCAUGGACAUUCCCCACGCACUGUUCGAGGAGAAGCUUGAAGCCAUGAAGGAAGCCAAGGGGGUGAAGAACGACAAUGACCUGACUGCCUCUGACCUCAAAGAGCUGGUGGCUCAGUACAAGGAGGUCUACGUCGAAGCCAAGGGGGAGCCAUUUCCCUCAGGUAUGCCCACCGCAGCCUCACCCUCAGUUGAUAAUAUCUGUAUGAAAAAAAAAAUUCUCUUGAAACUAAAGCUGUUUCUUUGCAUCAAACUUAUGCAUGCCUUUACCUUGUUUUGUCUUGCAGAUCCCAAGAAGCAGCUUGAGCUAGCAGUGUUGGCUGUGUUCAACUCGUGGGACAGCCCCAGGGCCAACAAGUACAGGAGCAUUAACCAGAUCACUGGUCUGAAAGGCACUGCUGUGAACGUGCAGUCCAUGGUGUUUGGCAACAUGGGGGACACUUCUGGCACUGGCGUGCUCUUCACUAGGAAUCCUAGCACUGGAGAGAAGAAGCUGUAUGGCGAGUUCCUGGUGAAUGCUCAGGUAUGGACCAGUUUCUGUUGUGCCUAUUUGAUUCACAAUCUUAGCUGCCCUGUUUGAUCAAGUUAUUUUACACAAGUUAUAUUAAACAUGCAGUAGUAUCAACGAAUCUGUAUAAUGUAUGUGUGUUUCUGGUUCAGGGUGAGGAUGUGGUUGCUGGAAUCAGAACCCCGGAGGAUCUUGAUGCCAUGAAGGCACAGAUGCCGGAUGCUUAUGUAGAGCUCGUUGAGAACUGCAAGAUACUGGAGAGCCACUACAAAGAAAUGAUGGUACCUUAUUAUUGCAUUUUCAACCUUUACUGCACCAUUUAUUUUUGAGCUAUAUUUAAACAUGAUCUCUUUAAUAAUUUGCAACAUAAGCGCACUUGAAUACUGGUGUUGCUUCAAUGUGUUCUGUAGAUUGGCAUUGUGUCUCUGUUACUGCCAUUGGCCAUGAUCUCAGACUUGCUUGCUUUUUAUGCAUGAUGCAGGACAUUGAAUUUACCGUUCAGGAAAAUAGGCUCUGGAUGUUACAGUGCAGAUCAGGAAAACGUACAGGCCAAGGGGCGGUAAAGAUUGCUGUGGACAUGGUUAAUGAGGGUCUUGUUGAGCGCCGUCAAGCGAUUAAGAUGGUAGAGCCAGGCCACCUGGACCAGCUUCUCCAUCCUCAGGUAAUGGAUAACCAUGAGGCCCGUAAACUGAUUGUGCCUUACUUGAAAUUCAGUACUCUUAUAAGUUUGGCCUUACUUGGAAUUCACUUUAUAAGUUAAGUACUGGAUAUGUAUUAACAUCACUGUUUUAAUCUUGUCCAAUGAAAACCAGUUUGAGAACCCAUCAGCAUACAAGGAUCAAGUAAUCGCUACAGGCUUACCAGCUUCACCUGGGGCUGCUGUGGGCCAAAUUGUAUUUACUGCAGAGGACGCUGAAGCAUGGCAUGCCCAAGGGAAAGCUGCUAUCCUGGUAAACACCAUUUUAUCCUCAUUUUUAAGAAAAAAAGGUCUUCUGCAGUUUUUGUGUCAUUUUGAUCUGGACUUUGUGCUUCGAUGAAAAGAUCUGUUAAUUGAGCAAAACUGGUCUAUUUACUGGACCUGUUAGAAUAGUUGCUUGCAGAGUUACAGUCACAAAAAUCCCACUUAUCACAGACAGCCAUUUUUGAAAUGCAUAUGGAAGCUCCAAGUCGUAUCGCUUCAUCUUUUGCAUUCUGAGAAUUUUUUCUUUGCAAAUAUAUAGGUGAGGACAGAGACCAGCCCAGAGGAUGUUGGUGGCAUGCACGCAGCUGUUGGAAUUCUUACAGCAAGAGGUGGGAUGACCUCUCAUGCUGCUGUGGUAGCACGUGGUUGGGGAAAAUGUUGUGUCUCAGGAUGCUCAAGCGUUCUCGUAAAUGAUGCUGAGAAGGUGAAUAGAAUUCUUGUUUGCACAUCUUCUUCUUUGUAGAAGGUGACAUGCCAUGUUAAAGUUUGUAACAGGAUUAUGACAUUCUUUGUAGAUGUGCUCCGUCCGCCAUUUUUAAGUUCUUAUUAACGAGAUUUUGAGGAUGUAGAUGUUUCCUUACUUUGCUAUGUCUACAUUUACAGUCUGUAGUGAUUGGAGACAAGGUGAUGCAUGAAGGUGAGUGGCUAUCACUGAAUGGAUCUACUGGUGAAGUCAUCGUGGGGAAGCAGCCACUUUCCCCACCAGUCCUCAGUGGUGAUCUGGGAACCUUCAUGUCCUGGGUAGAUGAAGUUAGGCAACUGAAGGUAAAUUCCUAGAAAUAACAAAUAUGUAAUAUUAGUUAAAACAUGGAUACAAACUGUUGGAAGUAGAAACCAACAAAAAGGGCAUCAGAUUAUUUAUUCAGACAGGCCAAAGCUAGUCAACCCCACUACACAUUUUUCAACAGAAAUGCUUAUUCGUACAUAUGAUCCACCUUCCAGGUUUUGGCUAAUGCGGAUACCCCUGAGGAUGCACUGACAGCAAGAAACAAUGGGGCAGAAGGAAUUGGACUAUGCCGGACGGAGCACAUGGUAUGUAUUUUAGUUACUGUCCAAUAUCUUUUGGGUGGGAUCUUGGAAAACUUACUCUUUCUUGAAUUCCUUCGUCGAACAGUUGGGUAAACUUUAAGGACCUCCCGUUCUAGUCUCAUGUUCUCCUUUUCUGCACUUUGGCAGUUCUUUGCUUCGGAUGAGAGGAUUAAGGCUGUGAGGCAGAUGAUUAUGGCUCCCACACUUGAACUGAGGCAGAAGGCACUAGAUCGUCUUUUGCCUUAUCAGAGGUCUGACUUUGAAGGCAUUUUCCGUGCUAUGGAUGGUAUGUGAAAAUCACGAUGCAUUCAUUUACAUGCUCUCCAAUUGAACUGGAUGCACUAGUGUUACUGAACAUAACAAGAGUAAGCAACCUUCUUAAAUAGACAACAUUGACUACUAAUGUAAAGUGAAAAGGUAGACAAGUUUUAAACCUUAGGAUGCAAAAUACUUCAAAAAUAAGAACGAAAUUGGGCCAGUAACAUAUUGCAUCAAUUAUUUAACUUGGUAACAUAAAGUUCUGCUAUGAUUUAUCCAUUAGUUUUUUUUAAUCUUUUAUAGCGAGUGGUAUAUGUACAUGUUUCAUGGAAACAGAUAUAGAAUUAAACUACUAGAAUAAAUUUUAACAUGUAUUGUAGUUAGUUCCACAGUAUGUAUUUUAAAGUGCGGAAUGGAUUUGAACAUUAUUUUUUUUGCAUUUCAGGGCUUUCAGUGACUAUUCGGCUUCUGGACCCCCCACUUCAUGAGUUUCUUCCUGACGGGAAUGUUGAAGACAUUGUGCGUGAAUUAUGUUCUGAAACUGGAGCCAAUCAGGAGGAAGCCCUUGCAAGAAUUGAAAGUCUUUCAGAAGUAAAUCCAAUGCUUGGUUUCCGUGGGUGCAGGUUGGUUUUUGUGCUCCGUUUAAAUCAGUCACCCCCCCUCCUUGAUCCAUUUGGUUCCCUUGUUAGUGAAAUAUUAAAAAGAAUAAACUCUGUAUAUUUACCUCGACUAAUAUUGGAACUGCUAAAAUUCCAGGCUCGGUAUAUCAUAUCCUGAGCUAACAGAAAUGCAAGCCCGUGCCAUCUUUGAAGCUGCUAUAGCGAUGACCAACCAGGGUGUUCAAGUUUUCCCAGAGAUAAUGGUUCCUCUUGUUGGGACACCUCAGGCAUGCAUCUUUAUUUCCUUAUUUGUGCAUAUGGUAUCUCUGCAGUUCAUGGUGUUCAAAAUGACAAAAUCAAAAUUGAAUAAACAACCAAGUUCUGUACACAUGUAAUUUACGAUUUUAUGCAAACAUCAAGUUGACCUACACCCAAUUUCCCACCAAAUUCAUUUCUUGAAAUUUUCUCUCUCGAAUUCUAAGUUUAUUGCUUUCACUUGAUUUUUCCUUCAGACAUCUGACAUUUGACUUUUGCAGGAACUGGGGAAUCAAGUGGCCCUUAUCCGUGAAACUGCUAACAAAGUUUUCGCUGCUCUGGGUAAAACCAUUGACUACAAAAUUGGAACUAUGAUUGAAAUUCCGAGGGCAGCUCUAGUAGCUGAUGAGGUAGGAAGCAUCUAACUCCCUUCAGAAUAAUCUUAAAUAUUGCUGUUUAGGUUUAGCUUUUAGAUCAUAUUUUUCAUGAAUGGUUUAGUAAUAGAACCCCGGAUUUUUACUCUAAAACAUGUGAAUAGUAACUGAUGGUAUGAAUUUAUUAAGUGCAAAUAAUAAGUUUAUCCUCUAAUUUAAAAAAAAAACUGACAUUCUUGUUUUGGUUUCACAACCUGACAGAUAGCAGAGCAGGCUGAAUUCUUCUCUUUUGGAACGAACGACCUCACACAGAUGACAUUUGGCUACAGCAGGGAUGAUGUGGGGAAGUUUCUUCCCAUUUAUCUGUCUCAGGGUAUCCUCCAACAUGAUCCCUUUGAGGUAAAAUUUUAGCAGCUCUCACCCUUCAGUUUUAGAUGAUAUACCUGCAUUUUCAUCAUCCACUCUUGUUUUUCAAGGAAUAUUUCCAUCAUCCACAGAUGCGAGCAUCUCAUGUCCUCUAGGCAUUUUUCAUGUCCUUGACUUUUGGUUACGUGCAUGCUCUGGUAAAAUUCAACCUAGUAACUUGCCCAUUGAAUGUUGAUAAACAUAUCAGGUGCUGGAUCAGAGGGGAGUGGGCGAGCUGGUUAAGUUUGCUACAGAGAGGGGUCGCAAAGCUAGGCCUAACUUGAAGGUUAGUUUUUGGGACUUGUGGACAUUGGCUCUUUUCCUUAGAAAUCAUGGUUUCAUUGUUUGGUGCUGUCUGCAAACAGGUGGGCAUCUGUGGAGAACACGGUGGGGAGCCUUCGUCAGUUGCAUUCUUUGCAAAGUCGGGGCUGGAUUAUGUUUCUUGCUCGCCUUUCAGGUUGGUCAAGUGAUAAACUCAAGAUACAACUCCCAGAUUCAUAACUGUAGCAAAACCUUAACUACUUUUUAUGAAAUAUCUUGUGCAGGGUUCCCAUCGCCAGGCUAGCUGCAGCUCAGGUGCUCGUCUGAGGGCACCGCCUCAUCGGCAACCGGAUCACCUGCUGUUGGUGCGUCUGGUGAAGAAUACUAAUACAAAGCCAUGGAACGGUGGAACUCUGCUGCCUGGCAAAGGCCGUUGUAUCUUGUAUGAAGUCUCCGUGCGCGUGCGCAUGUAAGACUUAAUGUGUGGUUUUCUGCAUUUUCCCUUGAACUACCAUGGUAAUGUAGUACCAAACAGAGAUGAUGACGAAGAACAAUCGAAUAAAUUAAUUGGCGAUUACCUGUGCUGUCAAUUUUGCUUUCUUGUAUGAGUUGCUAGUGGAACUGAAGCAUUUCAGAUUUGUUGGCCAAGGUGGAUGGUAAGUAUGAAUGCAACACAUAGUACUGGUUCCUGAUGCCUGGGAUCACUAUUUUUCGGUCCUACUAGUGUACCCAAGUCACAUAGAGAUAAUAGAAGGUAAAAGAUAAUCUCUAUGAUGCAACAGGACUACAGGAGUGAUUAGCCUCUUUUGGCAUUAACCAGUACACACUACACAUCAAUCACCUUUUGCCGUUCCUCCUUAUCUAAGAUUUUCCACACUUCUGAUCGCAAGGAAAAUUAUUGGCAACCUUCACUACAAUGCAUUCUCUCGGUUUUUGUUUCACCUUCUUGUCACGACCCUAAUCGCGGUUUUGUUUCAUCUUCUUAUCACGACACCAAUCGUAGCUAACUCGUUAAGUAUCAUCUCAUGAGCAGAAUUAAUCAUUAGGAAUGGUUAGGGAACUAAAAUAAUGAAAUUAUAGAGCUACGCCAUGUUUUCCUUUUGCGCAGGGCUGGCGCUCUCGGGUCAACACGUCAGCACUGGUUACCACUUCAGUGAUUCAUCAAUUCACAAAAAACAGCAAGUUGCAUACAUCCAUUCCAAGUAUCACACUAGACUCAUAGGUUCCAAAAGAAACUUACAACCAAGUCGCAUACAUCCAAGCAAAAGUAUCACAAUAAACUAGUAUCAGGUCCAAGGUAGCAACAUAAAAUGCAUAGUCUCGGUCCAGCCAGCAACCAGGAAGCAAAUGAAAAUGCCAAGUCUUAAGUCCAGGUAGCAAAAUGAUCCAACCACAAGAAUCUGUUUGGAGUUUCCUAGGUAGCAAUGAUUCGGUCACAUUAAUCCGAGUUAAGAAAUCACAUACUCCUCGUUGAGGUGCAUCAAACGACGAAAAAGAGCAUUGGUCUCCGCUCUUUGCUUCUUCAGACUUCGUAUCUUUUCUAGCUGCUUUUGCUUUGAUGCUUGUAUCUUCAAUUUCAAGGCUUCCAAUUUGUGGUACGGAAAAUGGUACAAAGGUUAUAAGUCCCCGAACGUUUAUACCAUAACUUGUUGCUUGCCUAUGUUCAUUUGGUGCUGUGUAGGUCGCAAGUUAGAUUCCGGUGGAGGCUUCGUCAUUUUUUUUUGUUUCUUUUUGCUGCUGGGCGUGGACAAGUGGGGAUCCAGAGGUGUUGGGUCGUGUUGCUGCAGGGCGCUAGCGGACCGUAGACCACCUCGGUUUGCUACUGCUAUACAAGUAAAUGAAUCAGAUGACGUAUUACAAGCACGUUGCUAAGUUCCGGGAUCGAGUCUUGCAAGGGCUCUCCACAUUUUUUUGUUACUAUUUUGCUGCUGGGCGCUACACAUUCUGGUGCAGGCCUCUAACAGGCCAAUAGGCCAUGGUCCAUUUUGCAAGUCAAGGCUUGGCUCUAUUGUAGUGCUGAGCUGGGCUGGGCUGAUCAAGCCUGUGAAUACAAUGGAGGUUGGACUGAAAAAGAAGAAAAGGCAAAAGAUGAAAAAAAAAUGACGUGUGGGACCCACAAUAGACCUACUUGUCAAAGUGAUGCUAGGACCCACUAUAACAGGCCAACAAGAUCCUUUUUUGUUAGAAAAAUAUAUCUACGAUGAAUCAUCGUCAUAAAACUUGUGACAUUUAUCUACUGGCCUUUAUGACAAAAUAAUAAUGUUCGUCAUGACAUGACAUUAGACUAGCUUAAAACGAUUAAAACGAUUUCUAGUUGGUCUUAGCGAUGAAUACCUCAUUUUUGUCAUUGCAGUGCCUCAUAUAGAAUGUCAUAAAACAGAAUAUCAUAACGACGAAUAGUUCCAACCUCACGUGGUAUUUGUCCCGAAAGGUCAUAUUUUUUUUAACGAGGGUUGCGUGCAUGUAUCAUAGGAGUGAGUAUGCAUGUGUGUAUGUGAGCGUCUACUUGUGUUUCGAAAAAAAUGGAUAUGGAUGCGAGACAUAAAUUAGAUAAAUUAGAUAAGUGAAAUCUCGUAUGCUAGCCUACGUGGUCUUUGGACUUCGUUAGGCUUGAUGCAACCUAAGUGCCAGCAUGUCGCCCACUCACUCCUAUACUUACUGUGUAGCUCUCAGUUAGACAUUCUCCCUCUUCGACGUCACUGAGAGUCUAAGACUAGCCUCCACCUGUGUUGCCAUGUCCGGUGCAUUCCACGGUCUCUCUUUCAUACGCCGUGUUUCGUCAUCCUCCUUAGUAUCCUGUGCGCGCACCAACUAUUGAUAUCUUAUGCUCUCCUAAUACGAGGAUGCAAUCUUCAUCAUCAUCGACCCCAAUGCCCAUGGCCACCAGUGGCCUACCACCACGGUUGGUCAUCACACACCUUCCAUGCUCGUAUGUCAUUUCACAAUUAUAAACGUUGUUUAGAUAAAUGAUAAUUCUUCUCACAUCUAUAUUAUAUAUACGUUUUAAUGAAACACACGUGUCAUGUUUAGCAGAGAGUUUGCUGAUGUAUGUUUUUUUAACUUGUCCUUCUAAAUUUUAGGGUAGUGAGCUAUUUAAAGGUUUACUGGAGUUGCUUACCAUUGUGCUUGUGAACGUGCCAGCUGGCUUGUGGACGGGUGAUUCCGGCCGGGGAAAACCCUCUCGAAAACCCCAAAUCUGCUUCGUCACUUCCGGACUUCCGGUUCCGGCCCUCGUCAUAUGCCGGGGGCACCGACUGCCACGCGAUUUCUCGCUCUCCUGAUCCCCUCGCCCUCCCGUCCGUUGUUCCCCUCUCCCGCAUCGACGCCAAUCGCCAGUGGCCCCUUCAGGCACCGCGCCGCCGGCAUGACCUCAGGGUCCCCCCCGGGUUCGCCCCCCUCCCCUCCUGGGUCCCAGGUCCGCCCUCCCUCGCACCGAUAACUGGUACCCUUGUCACAUUGUGGAUUGGUAUUUGCCCUAGCUUUGGUUUCUCCCCCCAAUUCUACUUGGCCCGCAUGUCGAUUUGCGUGUUUCUUUGGUGCCGGCCGCAUCAUGAUCAGGCGUUGAUUCGGUUGGAUUUUGGGGGGCGACUCUUGUAAAUUGUAAUCAUCAGGUUGUAUCUGGUUGUUUUGUUUAGAGACCCAGUCGCUCACUAAGGUUUGGAUGGAUUGCGUGCUCGAGAUCGCAGUACGCGUGUUCGUUUCUUAUGCGAAAAAUGCUGGCCGCAAUUUUAGUUCCAAACGGACUGGAAGUUUGGAGUCGGCCGAUUCAAACACAGGUUUUUCCGCAAAGAUAACAUUUUGUGAGGUGAAUCGACGCAGACAAUAAGUCUGACUUUUAAGGUCGUCGCAUAUGUGUUACAUCUGUUCAUGUGUGCUGGUAUGCGUUGGUUCAUAUUUUAGGUGCAAAUGCCUAAUGCCAUAUGCCAGGGAGGUAGAAACUGAUGAGAACAACAGAGUAUUUGACCUUGCUCUUAGUAAUCCUCCUGGUAUAUAGAGUCUAAAUCAAUUUAGGCAACUUAUGAAGAUCCAUGUGUUUAUGUGACCCUGCCAUUGUGGGGAUAUUAGUAAUUUUGCAAUUCUUAGGAUUUCAUGAUAUAUGUUCUAUAACCAGCAACAAGCAGUAGAGUGUCUGAAUGGAAGAAGUGGCAUUAGUUUUGCCCAAAAAGUGCUUUUAGGUGCUGCUGGGUACAAACAACAGUGUGGGAUAUUGCUUCUUUUCCAACUGCAUAUCAGCUAAAGACAACUGUUUCCAUGGAAGAUAAACAUACUUCUGCAGCAGAUUCUUUCAUGUGCAUGAGCACCUUCUUGUUUGAUUGGAGUGGUAACUUUGUUGCAUGUAUUGUAUUUUACAUGCUUUGCAUAAUGCAUACACAUUUCUUGCCACUCAUGUACAAUUGGGAGAAGGCAGAGUGGAACAGAUUUUAGGGGGAUGAGAAUAACUGGGAGCCUUAGUACUUAUAUGUUAUUUAUACCAUAGCUUUUAGACCAAUGUUGUUUCUGAAUCUAUUUUAGUUUAUGUUCUAAGUGGACUUUGUACAAAUGAUUGUUGAAAAUUGGGAGAUUCAACCUUAUUUUAAUUUUAAGUUGGACCCACUUGUUCAUUUGCUGCAGUUAUUUCUGUGCAAUGGAAUAUGGCUUCUGUACAGCAGUACGCAAAAGUUGCUACAAACACUGUUUAACAUAAGGUUUGCCAUAAACAAAAGCCAUUUUGUGCAUAUAGUAGACAGAAUCAGUCGAAUCAUAUCGGCAGCUUUCUUUUUCUUUUCCAUUGUGCUUGCUGAAAAGCAAUAUUUUGUGCUUGCUGAAAAGCAAUGUUUUGUUAUUCUACUAGCAGUAAUGGUCUAUGCAGUAUUAUAUUAGCAUCUUCCAAUUUGCUGUUCUUGUUCAAAAGAUUUUUCACUUUUCUGCUCUACAGAAGCAUGAUACGUGAGGCUGUGACACAAAUUGUUUGCUUUACAUGCUCACUUGAGAUAGAUUUUAUUUUACCUUUGUGGAAAUGAGAUAAAGAAAAUAACGAAUACCUUUCUGGAUUUGACAGAGAAAACGCAGUGCAACCAAAGAUUCAGUUGGCUUGUAUGCGGCGCAAUGCUAUAUGUGCUACAAAUGGCGUAUGAUUCCAACUAAAGAAGAAUUUGAGACACUUCGUGAGAACUUCACUGAGGAUCCAUGGUUCUGCAGCAGAAGACCAGAUUGCUCUUGUGAAGAUCCUGCUGACAUUGAGUAUGACAGCAGCCGCAUCUGGGUCCUCGACAAGCCCAACAUACCAAAGCCCCCACCAGAGACAGAGAGGCUAGUGAUUAUGAGGCGUGAUUUCAGUAAAAUGGACACCUACUAUGUCAUGCCAAAUGGGAAGCGUGCACGGUGUGCCGGGGAUGUAGAUAAGUUUCUGGAGGCAAAUCCAGAGUACAAGAACCGCAUAUCCACUUCAGACUUCAACUUUGCACCACCCAAGGUUGUUGAGGAGACAGUUUCUCACAACUCUGCCUGGAAGGCUGCCAAGGCUAAGAAGCAGGACAAGGCAGACGCUUCUAGUGCACAGAAGUGAUAGAAGCUCUAAACGGUGCCUGUGCUAUGUUUAGGUGUUAGUCCUCUUAGGAUCAUGUCAUGUCUAAUGUAGGUUUUAUUGCUGUGAGCCUGUGACUUUGCUCUGAUGCAAGUGCAACUGAACCCUUGUGUUGAGCUUCCUGGGAAAUCUCUGAGAUCGUUAAUAAGUUCUGUUGGCCUCUUGCUCUUUUCCAAUAAGCUGCUUGCAUAUUGCCUUACUACAACAUCCUCAAGUUUUGCUUUUCAGUUCCCAAGUGCAUGCAUGGUGGUCUCAUUAUCUAGCACCAUAUGUAUGUAGCAGAUGAAUGCUGCCCAAGCUUGGGCAUUCCUACCAAAGCCAUUUGAGCUCGUCCAGUGCAACACUGAUUUAAUGUCACAAGACAUAUAGAUGAGCUGAUGAGAGUCCACAAGCUUGUGAAGAAACUAGAAAUGCUCAUAUAGGGUAGCACAUGGAAGAUGAGAAAACUAACGACAGAUCAGGAGCAUCCAGUAACAAUGUAGGACAUUAGGACCAACACUACAUGCAAAAUUAGCAGAGAUUCUUGGACUUGCUGCUGACAUGCCAUAGAGUCAGUCGUCUUGGCGACGUUGAUGGUGCACUGAUAGCCUUCUCUGACGUCAUUGUCCCUGCAGAACUCCUUCCACUCAUUGGCCAUCCUAAAGGUCGCCUUCCAUGAUCUCUUGCUCCUUGCCGAUGUUUUUCAGUGUGACUCUACAGCUUGUAGGGAGGCCAAUCGAAGCGCAUUUUGUCCGUCCAAUCAUCUGCAUUGUGAACUAGAAUUGCAUGAAGCCUUGGCGUACAAAUUCUGCAUGUCGAAUUCCCUCGGUGUGGUGAAAACAACUUCUGUGUGCAGGCGAAUGGAAGUAAACCAGUGCUCACGGAUUUCUGUUUAAGCGCGCAAUGCAUUGGCUUUUUAUGUCUCUUCUUAUUAUUCAAAGAAGUUGGGGAACGCUCUGGUUUCUCAUCUCCUGAAUGAAUUGAGCUUUUACACACGCAUUUCCUCUUUCUGACUGAUAGAUGAUGCUUCACGCCGCUGCUUCUUUGAACAAUCAAACAAACAGUGUGAAGGAAAUUGUGCAAUCAUGCAAAUGGUUUGAAAUAAUCUCCACAUAUUCAAAAUUCUGAUAAUAGAAAUCCCCUGAAAAUCUUGUGGUCGAUCAUCUGGGGUUUUCUCAUCAGCGAUAUCCCCUGAAAAUGCUGUGCCGUUGUAAUCUUUCUGCAACCCGCUUGCCUUGAACAUUUUGUUUUUCAUCGUGAACAGCAUGUUCCCUUCGUAAUUGAACAGGAAAAGGUGGCCACGAGAAAAGCCAUGAACUGUCAGAAACUCUGCCCAACCACACCUGAAGAAGACACCAUGGCCUCUUGACAGUCAUUGUCUUGGGCCAUAGAUUUCGCAUAAACAAUGGAGGGAUUGGCUGCAACAACAAUUUAUCAGAAUUCAGAACAUGCAGCACCAGCAAGCAAACAUACAGAGGCAUGGCAGCAAAAUACGAGAAAAUUUCUGCAGGGAAGAAUGUGGCUGGAACUUGGCAGACCAUCUUGUUGCAGAAUUCAGGGACAAGAAUUCCGGUGAAAUGCAGCCUCCCUACCAUGCUCUUGCCUGUCAAACCUGUGCAUGGAGUAUACAAGUUACUGCAGGAACUGCAAGAGUCUCAAGCCAGAACUCGGUGCUCUUAGCAGCUACAUUGACAUUCGGCACUAAUGAAUCACUACUUGAAUCUGUUGAUGCCAAUUUACUAGAAUUCGCUUCAUACUUGAACAGGUAGAAGGUGGCUUCAGAAAGACCAUUGAAAACCACUCCAAAGUAUGCUUUUUCUGAAGCCGCUCCCAAAAAGCCCGAUGCACUGAAAGCCUGAAGCACCAAACACGCCGAGGGGGCUGAAGACCGUGGCCUCUUGCCUCACAUCGCCUUGCGCCAUGUGAUUUCGUGCAAAGCUUGGAGGGAUCGGUUGCAAGAACACUGGAUCAUAACAUGCAGCAAGCAGACAUACUAGCCUGCAGAUACGGCGCUACACAGUAAGAGAAAGUCCGAGAAGGAAAGCAUGUGGCUGGCACUUGGCAAGACCAUCUUCCUGGAGAAUUCAUGGAGCAGAAAUCCGAAAUCCGAUGAACUGUACAAUAGCCACCUGAAUUAGUUGAUGCCAACAAGAUUGUGGCAUGCUUGAUACAACAGCCACGUACGAUGCUUGCUGAAACCUGAAACAGUGCCAAUACCUGAACAGAGCGCAGAAUUCAAGACGGAAGAACCACCCGCGGCGCUCGUGCCUGAACACCGCCAACCAACCACCCGACGCCACGCUCCAAGAACAUCAAUAUAAACCCCGAACCUUCGCGCCCUGCUGCCCACGAAAACAAGAAUCCCCUCGCCCUCCUCUGCCUUCUCCCUUCCACCACGUUCAUUGCCGAACAAGAAGCUUCGCCUUCCUCCUCACAACCUCCCCACCCCGCUUCCCCGCAGCAAUCGAGGCCAGCUCCCGUUCUUGAAUCAAGAACGUCCCUGCAGAGUUCUUGAAUCAAGAACGCCCCUGCUGGGUUGAUCAAGAACGCCCAUGGAGGAGGCUUGGGAGGAGGAGGGCCGAGCCCGAGCCGGUAAGCUCGCCGAGCCGUUGGGCGUCCGCCCCGCCGCCAGCGCAGGAGGCCACCACCGCGAGGAGCCUCCGCCGCGGCGCGCGCGUUGGUUGGACGUGCUCCGGUAUAUUUGGAUGUACGCGCGCGGCUUCGCGCACGGCGUCGGCCGCGUGCUCUUAUUGCUGAGGCGCCAAAGCAUCGGCGCCGCCGCCGGUGUCGUCGUCGCCAUGGAGCGCAGCGGACGGCACGAGGACAACGGGGGACAGCGCAAUUACGCCUUCAUGUACGGCAAGCUGCUCAAGGCACACCGCAGCGAUAAGCUGGCGCACCACAAUGAUCCGGCGCCGCAGGUACGCCGCAGCGAUGAGCCGGAGCACCACGAUGAUCCCGAGUCGCAGGAUUCCAACAACGCCACAGCCGCCGGCUCGGCCCCCACCCCGGCCCUCCCACUGUUAAUCCGACUCUUGCAUUUCUUAAUCUGAAAUUGUGCCGCGGUUGCAGUUCAGCUUUAGCAGCCUGCAAGUAAAUGAGCUUAGAUUGCAGAUUGCAUUUCUUGCUCUGAAAUUUGUCUUGGUCGCUGCUCUGGUAGCCAUUGAGAAAAUGUAUUUAGACUGCAUUUUGCAUUUUUUUUCCUCUGAAAUUAUGUCUUAGCUGUUGAUUCAACAUAUACUUCUGCAUUCCAUGGAUGUGCACAAGACGCCUGGAUUUCCGUGCAAGACUUGCAAGGUUCGAGUUGGAACGCCACAUGAGCUCCUGCUGCACGCUCACUUCUGCCGCGCGCUUCAGAUAGAUGAGUUCCUCUGUCAACCAUCGUAGGCCUAAAUUGACAACCGUCGUAUUAUUUCGGAAAAAAAACCCGUUGUAGGCCAAAUUGAUAUGGUUGCCUUUUCAAGUAACCUUUUUAUCUAACUUGAUGAUGGCUGCAUAUAGGUUGGUGGAAGCUGAUUGUACAGAAGAUGAAAGUCAUGAAGACAGAUUGAUUUUCGGAAGGCAAAGGAUAACUGUAGGAGAAGCUGCAAAAUUUUGGAUGUAGUUUACUGUGUCGUGUAUUAGACAUGAUGCCUUACAUCCCAGUCAAAAACUACAUAUAGUUGUUGGGGGCUACAUAUUAAAAAACUUAGAGAAGUUUGUUCAUAGCUCAUUUCAUUUUCAUUCAUCGUAUAAGGCGUUUGGAUACGAGGUACGGUCACAUUGGAUGUUCGGAUGCUAAUUAGGAGGACUAAACAUGAGCUAAUUAUAAAACUAACUACAGAACCCUUAUACUAAUUCACGAGACGAAUCUAUUAAGCCUAAUUAAUCCAUCAUUAGCAAAUGGUUACUGUAGCACCACAUUGUUAAAUCAUGGACUAAUUAGGCUUAAUAGAUUCGUCUCGCGAAUUAGACUCCAUCUGUGCAAUUAGUUUUAUAAUUAGACUAUAUUUAAUACUCCUAAUUAGUAUCCAAACAUCCGAUGUGACAGGUACUAAAGUUUAGGGGGUGUAUCCAAACACCCCCAUAGUCAAUCCCGUGACUAAAGAUACUGGCAGCCAGGAUCAUGUUGCUGAAUUAUUACUGCAUAAUGCACUAAACAGUUAAUAAUAUUGAUAUCUAUAAUCUAAUAAUGAACUUAUAUAGAGAUGGUGGUGAAUGUUGUUUAUCAUUCAAUUACUUAUGUUUCUUUUUUUAGUUACUUAUCAUUCCGUUUAUGAAAGCUUCCUAAGAUUUAAAUUGUGCAAACAAGCUUGAACUAAGUUUUGGUUGAAUUUUUUCAUUCCAUUACCCUUAUUUUUCCAAUUCGAAACAAACAAAGACCGCCGUAAAUAAACAAUGUAUUAUGUUGGGGAUUUGACUCCGGCAGAGUAGGAGAAUAUAGAGCUAAUGGAGAAGUCAUAGCUUAGGGAUAAGUGUGAGAGUGCUAAAGAAAUGAGUUCCCUCCUUAUGACCCCAUGAGAUCUUUAUAUAGAGGAGGAAGGAGGUGGCGAUUAGCCCCCAAGCCCCUGAUGCGUACAAGAUUUACAACUAGACCUUUUGAUCUUUACAUUGGCUGCCCUUUUACUCAUGGGCUGGACCAUUUCCCAACGGUAGCCCCUCAACUACUUUGGUUCGGCUGGCACAACGAAGCGAAGUAGCUGAAUUCAUGGAAAGGCCUAGCUACAACUUUAACUUCGGCCAUAAGGAAAAGCCCUCACUACCGCAUCCGCUUCACCGCUAGACUUUGCUUCACUAAUCACCUUCUAUUUCUUGAGUUUAGCUUCACAACUUCACCUUUUAGCUUCAACUUUAACAAUGUAAUCAAAGUAGCAAAUUCCGUCGAAGUAGCAGAAGUAGAUGGAGUAGAAACACGCUCUUCCGCGUAGUUAAUGUAGUCGAAGUAGACAGUCCGUCUCUUACAUAUUCGAAGAAGAAAGUCCAUCUUUUAAUGUGGUUGAUGUAGUCGAAGUAGAGGAAGCAAAGAGCUGUUGCCUUUGUCCUAUCGAAGCUAGCAACACCUUUGAAUCUUCACUCACAUGCGUCGGGCAAGAUUUGAAUCCCGUGGUGAAUUGGUUCUCUAUGAUCCCGCCAUAGCCCCUCUUGGCCGAUGCAUGUAGUGAAGAUGGUAGUGGUACUUUGUACGUAAUUGAAGCAGUAGUGAAGGUGCAAUAGACGAAGCGCCCCUCUCCCCGAAACAGUGGUUUAGACAUAGUCGAUGAUGAGCACAUCAAGUUUAAUAUUGCCAUCGAAGAUAAAGGUGAAGUAGUAUAGACGUCUCCGAAGUUGUUGGAAAGCCCCUCGAGCCGAAUGAUGUUGCGAGGUUGAAGUCAAGUAGUAGACGAUGACGAACUUGCUAGCGGACCCCACGAGAUGAAGUAGUGGUGGAGGCGAAGUUGAUGUUGACGCUAAUGAUGACAGCGAGCCCCUUGAUGGAAGCACAGUAGCAUGCAAUGCCGAAGUUGGCCCUCGGUGACUUUCUUCAUGUCGGCAAGGCUAAGCUGGAAAAAAAAACAAUUCAACUUGCAUUUUUUUUCAAUAUCAGCUUUCCACUGAACAAGUGUGCCUGCAUAAGAGUGUCUAUCAUCCCACAUAAAGAUAAUACAAAAUACAAGCAGUAACAAAUGUGCCCAAACAAGGCUUUAACAGCAUUACGGCUCUAUGGAUUUCUGCACAAUAGAUGUAACAUCCCAAAAUUUGAAAUUCAAAUUUGAAAAUAGGGACCCAAAUUUUUUUUCUAAAAUUUGCAUAGCAAAUUUAAACCUAGAAUCCUACACUUUAAAUUUAUGCUCAAAAAUAAUUUCUACAAAUGCAUAUGCGUAUGCCUGAGCUAACUACGUACCUUUACUCCAAAAAUAUUAUAUCUUUGAAGCCUACACUACAGACCCUAAUCAAAUUUGAACUCCAUUUCAAAUUUGAAUCCAAAAGUAACUUUGAAUAAUGAAAAAUCUGUGAAACUUAACCAUGCCGACACCCCUUCACUUCCGGGCCAUUCUCCCUUCUAGCCCGGCCUGCCUCCACUCUCCAUUCCGCUCGCACGCGCGCGCUCGAGGCCCAGCUCACGGCCCAGCAGCAGCUCGUCCCAUGACCUAGAACCAACUGCUAUGUGACUGGAGUUGGUGGAUAACACUGUUCGCUAGCCUGAAGGCAUCGCUGAAGACGUAUCUAUGAAGACCGGAAAUUACUUUGUCCUUGUUGACUUCGUAAUACUCGAGAUGGGUGAAGGAGCAAAAUCCGCACUGAUACAGGGAAGGCCUUUCCUGAAGACAUCAAGAACAAAUAUAGAUGUUGGAAAGCGAGAGAUCAAGUUCGAUAUUAAUGGCACACUGAGCGCAUUCAAGUUUCAUCCACGUUUUGAGGUAUGCAACAUGAUUUCUAGCAAGUAUAUACUGCCGCAUGCCAUGUCAAGUAGGAGAAGAAGAACAAGAAGGUAGAAGAGAAGAAGCCAGCGCAAGUUGCUAUCAUCCAGAAAAAGGAAGAACACCAGUCUGUAAAGACCAAAAAGAUAGCCAAGCCUAUGCAUGUAUCGAAUCCCAAGAUGGUGCAGAAGUGGGUGCUGAAGACUGCAGUGCUGACACCGAGCGCUGGUCCAAAGUGAAGAAUUGAAGGGUCUAGCUAUAGACUAUAAACGAAGCGCUUUGCGGGAGGCAACCUGAUCAUUGAGUCAAGAAUAAGCUACUGGGAGGACAACCCUGGAGUCAUUUGAAUUUUCAAGUAAGUGAGUCGCAGAUUUUGCUAUUGGGAUUUAAUAAGUGGAACCUUUGAUCAAGAUAAUUUUUGAAGAUUUAUUCGCUCAGUCAUUUUUGUUCCUCUCUUUUUAAUAAACCAAUGACAUGAGUCAUCCCAAGCUUUACUUAAUUUUUCUUGGAAAACAGAAUCAAAUAUCCAGACCCUAUAAGACUUUUUAUCCUGACCAUGAUAAUUAGCCAGACCUGUUUCUCAUGAUAAACACACGAGUAGAGCCCGCGUUGUUCUUACAUUGCAAAUUUUGGCUAGGACUCAUGUAACCCUAGGAUUUUUGUUUGCUUAAACUUGAAAAAUUUACCUGUUUUCCUAGAAUUAUAAUUUUUCUCAUCCAUCUUUGAUUUAUUUCAUUCAAAAUUGCUCUCUCAUUUUUAGCCAAAAUUAGAACCUAAACCUACUACCCCACGGUUGAAAUCGAAAUUGCUUCAUCUCAAUUCAUGAGAAUGAACGAUACCGGUGCAACCAAAAUUAAUAUAGUCGGAAAUAUUUUUGACUUACAUUUUUUUUUGAUGCUUCAAAACCCCUCUAACAUAUAUUUGAACUCAUUGCUAGCUCUGAGUUAUUUUCUUAAUUUUUAAGAUUAGAGGAGGAUUAAGCAUCUAAACAUAAUUUGGAGGGUUCAUGAGCUUCAUUAACACUAAUGGUUUGAUUUGAGAUCACGGGAAUCAUUAUGGAGGCACUCCCGACUACCACACAUGCAUAAAAAAUAAAGAUUGGCCUGCCAUGUUUGUUUGUUGCAGAUCAAAGGACAAAACAUUGAGUAUGAUUGAAGAAAAAAAUAAGUCUAUGACACAUAAGUGCAUGAUUUUGAGCAAAGUGGCCACACAAAGGACAUGUGGAGGUUGUUUUGACGGUGCCCUUCACGUGAAGACCUUAAAUUUGGAUACACUAAUGAGCAAAUUGCCAUGUGAAGAAAGAUGGAAACUAGAGGAGGCAGAAACACACUAGGCCGAUCGGCCUGGGAUCUUUUUAAGCCCUCUCGUGGUGCCCUUUGCUAGGUAAGUCACUUAGCUCAUUGUUCAUCUAUUUCCACACAAAGAACACCUCAAGUUAGCCUCUGAAAAAUUUAAAACUCCAUGGUGGUGUCGUGCGCAUAUCCAGUGCUGGGAGAAGAUGGUCGACGUGUGGUUGGAGCCCGGGUGGUUGGAGAACCACCUUGCUUGCCGGCAGCGGCGUUUGCAGAUGCCGACUGCACCACACCAUCAAGGUAGCCUAAGCCUUGAUGAAUAUAGAGAAAAAUGGGUAUGCAACUUCAAUUUUUUAUUCUAACAUUCAAUUCUACAUAAUUCCUAAUCAUUUUGUAGUUUUUGCCGCAGUCAUCGUCACAUGAUGGCCGACCUUGCUCCUAGCUCAAGGCAUGGGUCCUCUCCAAAAAGGGCAAGGCAACGGCCGAUAUCAAUUUCAACCCGGAUGACCCGUCCGAGGCGUACAACCAUCCUAGCAUACACAGUCGCGUCAACAAGUAUACAACGAUGGCUAGGGAGGUUCACGGGCCAGACUUCGAUCCGAGCUCCGAGGACAUUGAUGGAGAAAUCGUGAUGAGGGUGGGAGGAGGCAAGAAGCAUGGCCGAUAUUGGGUUGGCGACGGUGUAAUCGACACGGCCUCUACUCCCACUCUCUCCUAGAUUCGAGCAAGGAGCACGGACUCGAGCCCGGCGAUACGGCCAUGACCCACCACUGCACAGUUACAGAUGGAGGCUCUCCAGGUUCUUUCUCUUCCAUUCAUCGUUCGUUUGUUGUUAUACUUUAGCUUUGCAUUAUAACAUUGCAAUGAAAUAUUGUAGGCCCAGGUGGAAGCAGCAAGGAAAAAACAAGAGGAGAUGGCGGCGCAGAUGGAGGACAUGCGGCGGAGGAUGGAGGAAGAAAAUCGGAUGAGGAUGGACCAGAUGUUCCAGUACAUGCAGAAUUUUGCUUCAAGCAUGGGUCAAUCUUUGCCUCCGCCACCGCCGAUGUUGUUCCCUCCGCCUCAGCCACCCACAACUACUCCUGUGAGUCCUUUGACACAUUGUGCUUAAGAUUGAAUACUUUAAUUUUGACAACUUUAGUUGUUAGCUCAGAAUGUCCUAUCCUAUGUGCAGAAUCAAUCGGCGGCUUCAAAUAAUGAAGAUCAAGAUUUGUCGCAGUGGUCUCCUUGGCCUCCACGGAACUAGACUUGGUUGUGAACUUGGUUGAAACUAAAUUGUGACUUGAACUUGGAUUUAUGGAUUGUUUCGUGCUUAUGUUGGAUUAUGCCUGUGAUGUUUAUGAAUAAUGCUUCUAAUGGUGGUUGUGAAUUAUGCCUGUGAUUGUUUAUUACAAAUGCAUGUGAUGAUGUGUAUUGUGAAUUGAGAGGGAUCUGUUAUACGUGACAAAACGGGUAAAAAAGGGGGUACUGACCACUUUGCCGAGUGUUACACUCGGCAAAGAGGGGCUUUGCCGAGUGUUUUUGCCUUAACACUUGGCAAAGUGGGCUGUUCCACCACCUGGUGCCACCUGUUUGCCGAGUGUUUUUGCCUUAACACUCGGCAAAGGGCACUUAUUUGCCGAGUGUUUUUUCCUUAACACUCGGCAAAGGGCACUGAUUUGCCGAGUGUCAGAACCACGACACUCGGCAAACAGGCUGUAGUUGCCGUGUGCUGCCACUCGGCAAAUAGCCUGUAGUUGCCGUGUGCUGGCCGUUGGCAAAGUUUUCGAGUUUGCCGAGUGCCUGCCGUCUAGCACUCGGCAAAGCUGCCGUUAGCCUCGACGCCGUCAAAGCCAAUGUCGCCGAGUGUGUUUUUUCGCCGAGUGUUUUUUGGCCGUCGGCAAAAUGUUUGCCGAGUGCACGAGUUUUGACACUCGGCAAAGCAGUGUUUGCCGGUACAAUAUUUGCCGUGUGCUAUAUGCCGAGUGUAACACUCAGCAAAGCCUUUGCCGAGUGUUUUUGGGUCUUCGCUGAGUGCCUGUGGCAGUCGGCAAAUUCAGUGUUUCCCGUAGUGUAGGAACUGUUGUCUAGAGAUACAUGCCGGUGGGCACGAGUCUCGUAGAUCAAUAUCACCUCCGUACAAGGUAUGGGUUGAUCGACGAUGCGGGUAAAGUGCGCAACCUCUGUAGAGUUACAAUCUAUCUGCUAGCCGAGGCUCACGGUUAUGAUCCCACCUGAUCAAAGCUCCCAUUGAUUAGUCAAGAUUAUAUUUUUUUUUAUAUAAAAACCCUAUGUCUCAGGUUUAAGCUUGAGUAACUACUUUGGAAUAAGGCAAGGUGCCAGCUCAGAGAAUCCCUGACGGAUCCUGAUGCUUUUAAAAUAUAGGGGCUGGUAGGGAGGUGGAUUCCCCUCCAGGACCAACAACUUAUAAUAUUCUCCCUGUCCUUCAAAAGCUAUAACUACACACGAGUGCAUAAAAUUGGCUUUGAGGCAAAAUCCUAAAGUAGAAGCCAACCCUUGAAAAACCAACAUGAAAUAAUUGGACAAUUGUGGGAUUUGUUGAGUGCUCAUUUAGAGUACUCACUCUUUCUUUAUUACUUUCUUUCUACAGAAGAAGAAUAGUCGUUGAAGACAACGAAGAACUUAGAGAUCAACCUUAGGAGCCAAGUUGUCUGCGGACUUGGGAAUACUGCAUAGACCUCUGCUGUAUAUCUACUCUGGGGCUCCAACCACCUUUGUUCAAAUAAGUAGUAUGCCUCUUUUGUAACAAUAUGCAAAUUAUCAAUAAAAGAUGUACGAAAUAUGGUUGUGAUACUUCUUGUGAGAAUUGCCCUUAUCAUCUACUGAUCCAGGGAAUGAUACGAAUGACAUUCGGGGUAAAGGAGCAGCCCCCACAAUAGACUUUUACUCUAUGGCAUUUCCGCACGAUAGAGUUGCUGAAGGUAUUUCACCUUUGACUCUUUGGUGUUUUCAUUUUGGUUCCACACCACAAGAGACGUGAUCACUCAUUGUGUCACGAUUUCUUAUUAUGGCAUUUCAUCCAUGCAACGCAAUGCAAUGUUUGCACCUUGUCUCAUGAUUUUUAUUAUUGCAUUUCAGCCAUGCAACGCAAUGGAAUGUUUGCAGCUUGCAUAACGAUUUUUAUUAUGGCAUUUCGGCGUGCAAUGCAAUGCAGGAAUACAUGUAUGACAUGGAUGGAUAAAUGCAUGAGUGAAUGAAUGCUCUUGAGCUGAACCACUCUUUUUCAGUUAAAAUUAGCUCAUGUCGAAGACCAAUGGACCACGAAAGACAAAUCAUAUCGGAGUCCCACUUUUGAUAACCCCCAAAUGGUGAAGACCAAGUUAGAGAAAACCGUUUAUAUGGCGAUACCAUUUCCAAUCAAUAUGUGAUAGCCGAAGAGCCAUACGAUAACCCAUACGAAAACCGUUUGUCAUGGUGUCAACUUUAUAUGUUUUAAUCUCCUGAGUAUCCCGCACAAAUGUUGCAGGGUCAGUAUCUGGGUUCCAAUCAUCCUUUUCCUCUUCUGUUCUCCAGACAUUUAGUAGGUCACCCCAGGGAGCCAUAAUACGGUACGUGUUGUCACACAGUACAUUCUGUGCCAUUUCCAUAAUUGCUUUCAUUGUAACCACAUGGCCACUGAGAUCGAAAGCAUGAACUUCUCCGAUUUUAGUGAUCGCAUAACAAAUACCUACUGCGGAUGGGUUGCGCCGGGAGAGUUAACUUGUAGAUCCUCUUUCUCAGCAAGGCUGUACAGGCAUGCAACAUUCUCACCAGCAGAUUCAGAGGUGUAGAGCAAGCGUCUGUGACAGCUUAUACUUCCCAAGGUGGUGUAGGCGGAGCGCCAUGAGGAGCAGACAGAUCCUGCACGCACCAGGUCAGGGAUCUCAAGGGUGGCAAAUAUGCUUAUCAAGCCAUCAAGGUAUCCUGUGGCAGCUCCGGCAAUGGGCGCAGCACAGUCCCCUUCUGCGGUGGGUGGACAUGGACAUGUUGUCGGAAUUUCUUCAGUAGUAAGUUGGGACCGAUGCUUAACAAUCUGGGCAAAACUCUGAUUAUGAAACAGAAAAAAUCUCAUGUGCGAAUAGCUAGACUGGAUAGGUUCAGAAUCCCUGCUCUACUACAUGACUUCAUUGGAGUAAAAGCCCCUCUUGGAAGAUGAAAGUAGCUUCUCUGCAUGAAAUUUCUUACACUCAAUAGCGAAGUUGCCGCCUUGGAUGGAGCAGGCACACAGGCAUCAUGAUACAAAACCUUGAGUCAUCGGAUCCAUCUGUUGCCCAAAACUCGAGAGGGUUCGGACUUCAGGACUCGAAUCAAACUGGUUUGCUGCAGAAAUUCAAACGGAUUCCGUUUCCAGCCCCGAUUCCACGGAAAAAAAAUUAGGUGAGGACCGUCCACAUACUUCUCCCGUGCGGCCCCCUCCUGAUUUCUGCCGCGUGGGCGUCCAGCGCGAUCGUGCGAGGGAACUCCGCUGGGAACGGAAGCACGCGCUUGGCUCGGUCGCGCGGGAACGCCUGGGCUGCUGGCUCGCUCGGCUCGCUCGUUCGAUCGCUAGCUCCGUCGCUAGCUCACUCGCUCGGCUCAUCGUCAAAACUAGAUGGGAAAUAGAAACUAGCGCUAGACGAGGAACAGAAACCGUCGUCCGCCUGCGUUAAAACCUCCGCUAGAUGAGAACUGCGCCGCCUCUCGUCAAAACCUCCGCGUGAGAAUCCGUUCGUUGUCUGCCACUGCAUCCCUUGCGUGCCGCCGACGAUGCCACCGUUUUCCGGCGCCAUAGCCUAGGUCAGGAGAAGACAUCCUUGUACGAUCUUAGAUCGUGGCAUAGGAGGACAACCGCCAUAGAAAUCUUCGACAAGCAUCACAGCCGUAGCAGCCGUCAUGGGAGAAGGAGGUCAGGAGGAUACCAGUCUGCAUUCCACGAUAGGAGAAGCCUCCCCACAUAUCGCAGCUGCAAUGGCGGUAGGAAGCCAGGAGAAGGACAACGUUCUCGACUCAUCGCUUAUGGUGUCGUUUGUGCCUGCCCUAACACACAACGGAAUGCAGCCAACGCAGGUACAUAUUUUUUCACAUUUUUUGGUCAUCAUGACUUUUCACGUGUGUGCUUGACCGUGUUACAUGACCUCCAGCUCCACUAAUUUGUAUAUGCUAGAUUUCCUUUAAUUAAACUAAGUUAGCAAAUGUGUAUAAACGUUAAAUUCAGAAAGAAAAGGGGAAAACCUUUAACAUCUGCGUCUUCUGAAGCAACAUGGUGAGUGUUCUGCGGUGUCAAUUCAGUUAUAUCUAGAUCAGUCGCUGACACACUUCUCUGGAGAAACUCACCACUUGAUCUAGCAGUAUUUUCUGGCCCAUGAACUAGUUCCAGAUUAUCUAAUAAAUUUGUUGUUUUGGGAUUAGAGGGAGGGAUGCAAAAUAGCAUUCUCAUUCGUACAGUCAAAAAUCAAGAAAGCAUACCGUUUAUAUUUCUUUCUCCUGAAACAGCAUAGUGCUCUUCUAGUAUUGUGAACUGAGAUCUGAAUGGGUUAGUGUUGCCUUCAUUUGCUCGAGGGCGGUGGGGGUGGUCGGCGGCGGACGAAGGAGGAAGAUGGCGGCGGAUGACGGAGGACAACGGGGCCGGCCAGCGGAGGACGACGGAGGAAGACGCGCCGGCGGACGAGGGAGACGGUGGCCGGGGCGGCCGCCGGGCUCGAGGGCGGUGGGGGUGGCCGGCGGCGGACGACGGAGGAAGACGCCGGCGGACGAGGGAGACGGUGGCGGGGGUGGCCGCCGGGCUCGAGGGCGGCGGGGGUGGCCGGCGGUGGACGGAGGAGGAGGACGGUUGCGAGAUCUAGCAACUGGGCGGUACGCUUGCGAGAACCAGACGAACGAGCGAGCCGGGCGAGCUAGCGAUCGAGCAGGCGCGGAACCAGAGGAGCGAGCGAGCCAUGCGAGCGAGCUAGCCCCUGCGGAAAGGAGCCGAGCGAGCGAGGCGCGCGCGGAGGCGUCGAUCCGCCAGCGGACGAAAUCGAGACGGGGCCGCACAGCGAUGAAUUUGCGGACGGUCCUCACCUAUUUUUUUUCCGAUUCCGCGGGCACCGAGGAGACGGCAGCACGGCACUAACCGAUCGCUGGUUGAAAGAUUUGGCUGGCGAUGAGGAUCAAUCGCCGGCUUUUAGCUACAGCGUGGCUGGAGGCAAUCGAAUCGCCUAGUAUACAAAAUGAUUAUGUGGCGGGGGCUGAACGGGUUGGUUAAUAGCUCAGGAGAUUCAGGUUCCAUGGGUUGCUGCUGGGUCCGACUCCAUCAAAAAAACAGGGACGGGACCAAAACAUCUCAAAUCGUUCCCCAAUCCAAACACAUGCUAGACGAACGGCUGCUGGCUCAGCUAUGGUUACUGUGGAGAAAAGAGAAGGGGUUGCUGCAACCUUCAACGGUCGCGCGUCUGGGCAGAUAUCCUGCAAGUGCUGACUGUGAAGGGCAUCAGGGCCGGUCUGGAAUCUGUCGCAGUUGUAGUUGUAGCCAAACUUUUUGCUUUCCUAGGAGCCACUAGCAAAACAGAAUGAAACUGACAUAGUGAACACUCCAGCAUCAACCUUUCAGCUCAUACUCGAAGGCUCGUUGUUCCUUAUUUUGAAAAAAAAAAAACGGAAAUCGGGUCUAUUCUGUCAAGAAUAUGGUAUGUCUAUUCUGUCAAGAAAUCUGAAACCAUUAAUCUUACAGCAAGAAAUCGGGUAAUAUGGUAUCAAUUUCUAUUGUCGUUCACUACGCUUAUGGGGUACAAUGCAGCAAUGAAACAUCAUGGCCAUCAGAGCUGUUUGAGAUGGUCUUCAUGCCCAUCCGUUGCUAAUGAAUAUCUGCCACAUUUGCUUCCUGCCUCCUGAAAACUGACAGACAAGAGCAAAUAUACAAUUUCAGUCCACAGAAAUAGCAACUUUGAAAAAAAAUUCUCAUUAUUAGUCAUACGUGAAAUGACUGUUUACCUGACAUCCAUGCUGACAAUUUUAUGAUAUCAGCUACUUGCAGAUGUAAAGAGUUAGGUCUGAUCACUUUUGUUUCUUUUAGCCUGGCAGGCUUUCAAGGCUUGGACCUCUGUUAUGAAAAGGAAGUGACAUGUAUCUUGUUAGUGAAGAUAAUAUAAUGGUCUAGACUAUAUUAAGACUAUUACUAACAUCCAGAAUCUGCUAAACGUUUCUGUUCAAAAAAGCCAUGUCAACUGUCACAGGGCCACCAAUGCGACCAAAAUAAGAUUAGAUUCUGGUAGUGAUCUGAUAGUCAAGGCAAGCUGUUAAGGUCUGUUCUCCAUGCCCACUCAUUGAGAAUAAAUGCACUGCUCCAGAAUAUACAGUAGUACUGGAGCACCAUUUUGUGGUUUGUUUGAGGGCAGUCAAGCAGGGACAGUAGGAAGUUAGUCUGGCAAGAUUUACUAGACUAAGCCUUGAAUCCUAGAAUUGUCCACUUGAAGCCAGCUGCUGCACCCAUGUAAAUGCAUGAGCCAGGAUUUCGACAUUUAUGGAUUUCCCAUUAAAAAACGAUAUGGAAAAUAAGAGAAAGCCCAAGUACAAGAUAAAUGCACUUUAAUAGCAUAAAUCGAAACAAUGCUUUUAUUUUGCUCCCAAAACCCAAUGAAAAUGCUAAAUGUUAAUGACCAGUAGGAAUCAUGAUAUUCCUGGCACCUGUUAUAUGCAUCAUUUAUUAGCUUAUGUCACUGCCUUGGAUUAGAGUAGAUCUGGAAUGCGGUCUAAAGGACUAGAGGCAGAUAACAUGCAACCAUCCUUGGCAAUUAGGUCUUGAACUCUGUUCAGACAGAAUAUUAGGACCCAUUUAUUGUAUAAAUGUGGUCCAGACAACUUAUAUGGAUGCUUGAUGACCGUUACUCUCACCCUAUAGCAUAUAUCCUGAUGCAUGUCAGGGCAAAUCAUCACAAGGAAAAUGUAGUAAAAACUGAAGCAUAUGCAUAUCCUAAUUCUAAUACAAUGUAGUUCUUUUGCUCCAAACUUGUUUGUUCUCACUUUCACCUGGUAGGCCUUAUCCUGAACAUACUUUUUUUACUUUUCAUGCUCCCAAAAUGAACUCAAAGCACCCCUCAAACUUCAUGCUCGACCAGUUCAUCAGGGUUCAUUCCUCUAGCCAAGACAAAUUAGCCAACUCAAUCCUAAACUAUAUAACUAUAAUUACUGCGCUCUCAACUCAGUUCAUGAGGGACUUGCAAAUCAUGCACAUGUCAAUUAGCUGAAAGCAACCUUCUUAAAGACAUUUGGAUUUCCUUCACAGUACACAAUUCCUCGAAACUAACAAAUCUUGCUUCAGAAAAGAUAAAUCUGUGCUAAUAAAUUAGAGGGCUUACGUGCUUGGCAGGCCUUCCAGUUGCGGUUUGACUCCACAAGGCAGUCCUGCAAACAAAUAAUGGGAUCAAAAUCUGAGAGGCCUAAGAUUAGUAUAAGGAAACAAGCUACUUGUGAAUGGAGAAGGCCCAGGGGUGGGGAGAGGCCAGUGCCUGCAGAGAGAGAUAGAUCGUGGCGCACUCAUUAAGCUGCUUAACACUCUCGUCCUCCUCAUCCGCAUCUGUCACAUGUAAGGGCCGUUGGGACACUGACAGUGGCACAUUCCUAGUGUUGCUUGAGGAAGAUUCCAUUGCAAGCUUUGGUUUGGUUCAGUGGUGCCACCUCGAUGAGUCAGUUUUGGCCUUUCAAUUGCAGUCAAAUGGGUUGGACCUGUAAAAAUGCGCUAAAAUCUGUAAAGUUUAUUUAUGGCACCAUUUUAUCAAACAUUUAAAAAAGACUGAAAAGGAACUGCAAGAUGUUAGAGCAUUUUCUACAAACUACAGCUUUGCAAUAUUAAGAUACAACUUGAAUCAGACUUCUAAGGGGGGAAACAACUAUUUACACUGCUCUGCACUAUAUCAGCCAUUAGGGCGUGUUCAGGAGGGCUCCACUCUAGAAAUUUCACUGAUACUAUUAGGAUGCACUCCUCAGCGAGAAAUUGUAGAGAAGCUACAGUCCAUCACUCGUUCCAGCAGCGAGAAAUUGUAGAGAAGCUACAGUCCAUCACUCGUUCCAGACUUCCAACAGAGAGGAAAAAUAUUAUAGCUGGCUCAACUAGCGGGAUCCAUAUACUCUCAAUUCUAGAUCGAUUCCUAAGCACUACAAUGGAGAAGAAAAUCUAGAACCAUGAAAAUAAGGGGGGAAGAAGAGGAAGCAGGAGACAUACUGUGGAGGGGAGGGUCGAGGAGGCCACCGCCGCCUGGGAGUCGCGUAGGCCGCCGCCGCCGGAAAGGUCGCGGGCGUGGGGGGUGGGGCGCCGCUGGGGAGUCGCGUGGGCGGGGACGCCGCCAGGGAGUCACGCGGACGUGUUCCGCGUAGUUUUGGCCGGAGGGGCAAAAGGAUACUAGAUGCAUAAUAAUCUUUUGAUACUAAAUAUUUGACUCUUUUAAUGAUAAAUAUCUAAACAUUGAUUCUUUUGGUGGUAUGGAUCUAAUUUUUCCUAUAUUAACAGAUGUUGGUGCUGACACAAAAAUUAUAAUUUUUUUUCUCAGAACAGCGCAGACAAAAUUACAAACCGGCUACAAUAGUGUAAUUGCAAAAUUGGGAUCUUCGAGUAUUUCCCUAGGUAAAUCGACGGCAUGUAUACAGGAAAAUGACAAUCUCUUUUUUUUCUAGAAUACACAGGAGAACUGCACAUCAUUCCAUUAAGAAGAGAUAAAGUAUUAAUACAACGCGGGCCUAGUCCGGCCACACGCACACGGUAGAUAGACUGAGGGCCGAUUACACGGAGCUGGGGCUACAAAAAUGAGACCUUAAGAACUAACGUCACUGACUCACAAAACGCCAGCCUACGCUAAAAAGGAGAGCGUAAUUGGCAUGGGAGCAAAAAUUGUUGCUUCUGUCAUAAUCUUUUCUUUUCUUUGAAUGUUGUUUUGCUGGUGUUGUGUGGUUUGUUAUAUAUGCAGCGUCAGUUUUAUCUCAGCCUCAGUAGUGUUUCUAACAUGUUUGGAAGUUGGCUACGGGGUAUUGGAAAAGAUCAAAAGGUGCUAGUUCUGCUAGGAGCGGCUGCUACAUGUCGGUCGUUAUGGCUAUGAAAAAUGAUAUAAUCUUUGGGGAAAAAUAUAACUCUUCUCCCUGUUAUUUUCUGGAUUAUACACUGGCUUCGCAUGGUUAUAUUAUAGAAGCCGGCUUCACAUGAUUUGGUUGUUGCGGCAUCAUCGUAAUUGGAGCAGGUGGUCAAAAGAGUUUUUUUACCCGGACACAUGGGUGGCGGUUUAGUUUGAGGAUUGACCGUUAAUAGAGUGUUUGGGUUAUAUUCUGUAUUUUCUUUUUUUAGGCUGUGUGCAUCCUGCUAUACAGAGAUCAGAAGUGUUUUAAGGCAUUGUAUCCACUCGAUGCAAUGUUCUUAAAAUUAAUAAACGAUAAUGCUAUAGAGUAGAUAUCCGGAAUCAUUAAAAAAUCGGACGGCUCGACAUAUCGAUGUUGCAAUUAUUGUUUUCCGCAUGUUUCACAGUGAAUGUUGUAUGAAACAUAGUACUCAUGUUGCGGUGAGAAUUUUCUAUCCCAUGUCAAAUGACAUAGUCAUUUUUUCGCAUAUUUUUCAAUAUUACGACUAUAAAUUUUUAAUGUUGCCGAUGUUUUUUUACGUUGCAACGGAACGUCCCAUUAGAAAUUCCCAUCGGACGUCACGGCAUUAGCAGUGCCGAUUAAUAAAACUUCGUGCGGUGGACCGAGGCGGUGAAACUGGUUCCGAGCCCCCUUCUCCGCGCUUGCCUCGGACCUCAGCAGCUGCGCUUGAUGGCCGCCGAGGGUGUGAGUGAAUUAAGCUGAAUUUCAGCCACCCAGUUUCCAAUCUGUGAUGUACAUAAAUACAAUCUGCUCUGAUACAGCUUUUAUUGGAACAAGGGGGCGAGGGCAGUUUUCACUGAACGCCACAUUAGAACAGAAGCAACUCCUGGAACUUCGUUCACGUUAGAAUACAAGCUAUGGGCAACAUGAUAUUCUUUCAUGAUAAUAUGGAUAAAAAAAUCUCACAUCUGACAACUAUACAAAUGUUUUGAAGCCGCGCUUGUUGCUUCAUCUGACUUGAUUUGGUACUUUCUUUUUUCUUCAGAACAAGCACAGCUUUUAUCCAGGAGAACAUCUGUUGGGAUAUCGAAACCCAUCUAGACUGCCUAGCUUAGUCAACAAAAAUUUUCAGACUUCAGGUACAUCUAUUCAUCACUUAAAUGUGAAAGCCUUUGUCUUUUCAUACCCCCUUGGCCCCUGCAUAUACACAAGAUAUAAAAGGCUAUAUGCACUACCUUGGAACAUAUCUGUAAACUUGUUUGAAGUUAAUCAACAAAAUCUCAGGCAACCCCAGGGUUGCCGUUGUUUCCCUAAAAAAAACUACCUUGGAACAAACUAACCAAACAGUUCCCUCCAAAAGACUAGAAAAUUCUGAGGACCAAUGCUUCUCCCUUAGCAAAAGCUCUUCAAUCCGCCCUCUGCAGCCAGCCAUCCAAGCUGCACAGAAAGAAUAUGAUUAAACAUAUGUUAAGAUCUGAAUCCUGAAGGAGCAGACAACAAUAACAUGAUAAAGUACCUUCCACGCAUACAUCAGAAGAAAAGCAUGCCAUAAAUCUUUACUCCGACCUUUGCAGCCAUCCAAGCUGUGCAGAAAGCAUAUGAUUAAAGAUAUUUUAAAUACUGAAUCUGAAGGAGCAGAAAACAUUAGCAUGAGAAGUUACCUUCCAGGCAUACAUCACAAAGAAAGCAACUGUAUCUGCUGACCAGACAACUGCGAAGGAUUUCACAAAGAAUGGAAUUGUAACAUUGAUCAGGGGGAUCAGGAGAAAUAAGUAGUUGAGAGCCUCUUUCUCCUUGUUUGAGCAGUCACGGGCCCGAAGUGAAGGUAUAGCUGCAGAAGUAGAUAGCGCUCAGUUAAUAUACCGAGGAAAAGGCUCCUAUGCAAUAUGCAAUAAGUAACAAAUAUGAGUCAAAGCAUUUUGUAGAACAUGCCCACAAAGUUCUAAAUUCUUUUAACUCCAACAUCAACUGGAGGAAUUUUUGAUUGAAUGAUAGUGCUCAAAUAUUGUUUCCACCUUUCCUCAGUAGCUUCAAAUUGUAAGUGAACUGUCUAGUGCAUUUAACUCAAAUAAUGUAUCAGACUAUCAGAGCCUAGUCGCCUUAACUCUGAGACCUCGCUAAUGCAACUGUGGCCAAAUCUAGUCCAUUCCGUAGGCCUAAGGGCUUUCAAGCUUGAACCUGUUAGUGCAUCUAAUUCUAUGGAUAGCACAAAAGACUCUCCAGAACAGACCACAGCCAUGGAUCUUUCAAAUGGGUGGUAUUCCAUAUAUUACUAAAUCAAAUAGAAAUAAUUAUAUCUCAGAUUCUGAACAAUGGGUUGGCUUUCAGUUUCAUUGUCUACAAAUCAUAUCCAACCGUUCAAGUAAGGUAAUGGUUUGGCAAGAGAGAAAGAUCACAACAGGAAGAGAAGAUACUUCAAUCUGAGUUUCAGUGACCUUAUUUGUUUGUGUAGAAUGAAAUCAAACAUAUAUAAACCAUGGUAGUAAGCAAAAAUAAUGAUUUGGUGCUUUUUGAAGCAUUUAAUAUUACUUUCUUAGAAGAAAUGUUUUUUUGCUAUAGUAUGCAACACUAGGUACGCCCAAUUACCGAAUGCAAACACAGGCUGCAAUGGAUGUACUGCAAGACUGCAUCAUAAUGUUUCUAGCUAGUUAAACACUAUUUUCCCAUGUUUCGGAACAGGAAAUGUAAGGUCGGGACUAGUCAUUGUCAGUAAAAUGCUAAUCCUUACAGCUGAUAAAAACAGGGUUAUUAUUGAAUUCAAUACAAAUGGUAGUUAAAAUUAAUCCAGAGAAGCGUGGUAGAUAGGUCAUAUGUAUCGGCAAUUCAUUUAGCAGAAUUUAGCACUGCAGUGCAAUAAAGACAACAUAGGUUGAUGCGACACAAUAAAUCCAUCACUUUCUUAGGUUCUAGUAGACCGUAUCAAUGAAGUGAAAAACCAUGCUCUUACUAGGAACAUAACUUGCAAAAUCCUUACUUACUGAACAUCCAAAUGGACCACAUUCCCAUUAACCUCCAGAUGUCAGGCUCAUUUGAUGGGAAUACAAGAUUGAAGGAAAGGGCUCCGCCCAACAGCAUGGAGACAUAUCCCUGGACUUCAAAGACACUGUACAGAGUAGUUCCAGGAACAGCAGGGUUCUUUGUUUUUGUAGACGCCCUCGGUGCAAAGGUUGCCGCAGUCUUCUGAACUGCCUGUUGUUCAGCAACGUAUCACAAUUACAACCAGAAAUUAAUCAGCAAUUACACUGUGUUACACAAGCUGGAGGGUCACAAUUCACACACAUGUAAAAUUAGUUGAUUCAAUACUGAAUUAUGUUAACUGCAUCAGCAAAAGAUUGACCAAUUCUUUUAUGCAAAUCUUCUUAACUAUACUGUGCCGUAGAAAAUAAAAUAAAAUCUAGAUUGAUGGUAAAGCAUCUACAGCAACUACUCCUUCCUAGUACAAAAAUUGCAAGGCAGCUCUUGUGGCAUAACCGCAUAAGUGUCAAACAAACCUUCUUGAGCUCCUUUUCGAUCUUGGGAUCGACAGGAGGCGGCUGCUUCCCUGCCGAUGAGUCAGCCGAAGCAACCCCCUCCCCGCCGCCGCCUUCCUCCCGUUCCAAGCUGUCUCCCACGGUAGACGCCUGAGCCGCCGCAGCACCGGAUCCCGAACCAUCGGUGCUUGCGCGCGCUAAAGUGAGCUUCCUCCGCCUCCAGCCCGCCCUUCUCCAGGAGAGCGUGGCCGACGGUGGCCGCAGUGCGGCUGCCACUGGCAGAAACGCGCAGCCGCCGCGGCCGCUGACCGGGUUGCUUACCAACAGUUGCAUUGCUCCGGAGGAUUAUGUGGAAGAGGAGGGAGAGGGGAAGGGAUGGUGAACCGUUGGUUCUCCCGCCUUCACCCAGCGGAUGGCAGUGGAGCCCGCUUCCGAUAUUUCUAUCCCGGCCCAUCAUUUGUUUUUGUUUUUUUGCAAGACGGGAGAAGAAUAACCGCAAAAUCUAGCUGCCGUCUUAUCCGAGCUCCAGCGCCUCCUCCCACCACAGAUCUAGCGCAGCGAGCAGGACGGGCAGCGCAGCGCGGCAGGCUCGCGACCAGGAAGGGCGCGCGGCAGGUGCGGAUGGCGGCGAGCAGGAAGGGGCGCGGGAGGCGACGAGCAAGAAGGGGGCGUGGCAGGCGCGGUAGGCGGCGAGCAGGAAGGGGGGCCUUCCACUCGUGAACAGGUCAAUGAUAAAACGUGGCCCAACUCCCCAACAUCCAAUCUAGAAACCACCACCGACCCACCAAAACACAGUCCAGCGGAGCCCCGUGCCGCCCUCGGCCCAAGCCCACGGACCGGGCCCACGCUCACGCUCACUGAGUCUCCGACGCCGCCGCCGACGUGGAGGUGGCGCACCUCCCGUCUCUCCGUCCGUCCCUUGCCGUAUUCGGCGGUUCGAUUGCCUGCAGCCGUGCAAUCACAGCACUGGCUGGAUGCGAGGCGCGCGGUGGUCCGGCGGUUGCUCCUCCUCACCUCCAGCUCCAGCUUGCUGACUGUUAGUGCCCCGUCUCUUCUUCGGUCUUUGCGGAAUCGGGGUCGGAAGCCAACAGAAGUUCAAGUCGGAAUAACCUUUUUGCCUCGGAGUGAAACGGAUUCCGGUUAAGCUGUUCUUGGCUUCCGGUAGCCGUGCGGUUCCGGCCUGGAUUCGGAUGCCCUCUUCGUCUGCUCCGACAAGGAGACUUCGGAGGGCGGAAGCUUCCCUGUGCCUGUUCCAUCAAAGCCUGCAACUUUGCAAGUGUUCCUGCGGAGAAGCAUUCAACCUUCCAAUGGAGACAUGUAGCAAAGCUAGGAUUGUGAGCCUUUGGAGUCUAGCUAUACACCCAAGAAAUAUGUUCUCUCUGAUCUUCAGAGUUUUGCCUAAGUUGCUUCGUCAUUCUACCGGUAUAUUGCUGAAGAAAUUCCGAGAAGAUGGGCACGUGCUGAUGAUAGAUCAGAGAUGCACCUCGUCAAUCUGAUCACCAGUGAACAGAUCACUCUCCCUUCAGUGGUCACUAUCGAGCAUGUGAAGCCCAUCUUCGAUAAGUAUGGAGUUGUUGAAAAGUAUGAAUACUCACGCCACACUGCAAGGAAACUUUCGCAUCCAGAUCGCACCUUCGAUAAGUUUUGAAGUGGUCCGAAAGUAUGAACCCACUGAAAGGGAGGUUUAUUACGAACCGUCAAUCUAUGCUCUUGCCAAGCUGCGGGAAUUUCUCCGGUGUAAGGCUUUUGUGUACCCUGAGACUUCCAAAGGAAGCUAUAUUGUUGCGCUCAUCCAUAAUCCGAUGAAGCAGCUCUCAUUUGCAAGGCCCGGAGAUGGGAAGUGGACUUGGCUUCCACCAUACAUUUACUAUCAGGAUUGCAGUUACAAGAAUGGCUUAUUGUAUGCAAUCAAUAUAGUGGGAGAAAUCCAUGCCUUUGAUCUCAGUAGCUCUGUGGUCAUGAGGAAGAUGAUUAUGGGAAUGACGGAGAAGGUAAUGUGGGACUGCUUAUACAUCGUUCACGCUCCGUGGGGUGAUCUGUUGAAUGUUUCGAGAGUGAUAGACCAUGAGGAUGAAACUGUUGACCCCGCAGUUCAUUUGCUGACUACUACUGAGAUUAAAAUAAAUAAGGUUAAUAUUACGGCAAAAAAAAACUUGAGGAAGUUAAAUGCCUGCAUGAUCGUGGGUUGUUUCUUGGGCAUAACCAAUCUCUUUGCCUCAGCGCCAAAGAUCAUCCUCAUCUGAAGGCAAACCAUGCCUACUUUACGGGCAAUUAUGACUUGUAUAUUAAUGGAUUCAAGAAUGGUCGUCGUGACAUAGGAGUAUUCAACUUGGAGAGCAGCAACUGGCACUACCGGAAACAGUUAUUUUGCCGAGUGCCCCAGGCACUCGGCGAAGGCCCCAUGCCGAGUGUAACACUCGGCGAAGUCUACUCGGCAAAGUUUUCCUCGGCAAACAGGCUGUUUGCCGAGUGUCAAUCGUCAGGCACUCGGCAAACCUUUUGCCGAGUGCCAAAAUACACUCGGCAAAAUUAAACACUCGGCACAAAGAUGUUAACGGUCUGUCACGGCAACGGAAGCUUUGCCGAGUGUCUGACGGCCGACACUCGGUGAAGAUGUUAGGUUUGCCGAGUGUAUUCUUAAAGGCACUCGGCGAAGUCUACUCGUUUGCCGAGUGUAUUUUGGCCAAACACUCGGUGAAAAUCCAUGGAUCGCCCUCGGCGAAGAAGCCCCACCCGCCAUUUUUAUUUUAUCAUUUGCCGAGUGCAUUUUUUGCCAGACACUCGGCAAAAUGGAUAAUUUCACCGAGUGCCACGGGGUAGGCACUCGGCGAAGAAGCCCGGCCCGCUAUUUUUUUAUGACCCCUUUGCCGAGAGCUUUUUUUCAAAACACUCGGCAAAAUGACCCUGUUUGCCGAGUGCCCCUGUGGCACUCGGCAAACAAGCCCUCCCGCCAAAAUGUAUGACCCCUUUGCCGAGUGUUUGGCGAAUACACUCGGCAAACCCGUCUACUAGUACCAGAAAUGGCCUCUUUGCCGAGUGCCUACUACAAAAUAGAAAUGUUAGGUAUAAAGGACCCCUCUCAAAAAACAACCACAGAAGCACAGGCAUAUUAAUUGCACCACAAGCAUAUAAAUUGCACCACAGGAUUCACAAGCACACAAAUAGCAUUCAUAAGUUCUCGUCUAAAGAAGUAAUUCACAAGUUUUGCAUCACAAACACAGAAAUGACAAGUCACUGAGGAGGAUGAGGAGGACGUGCAGGUGGCCACUGCCCCCAGGAAGAUUCUGCAUUGGACGUCGCCAAUUGAUUCUGCAGAAAUUUAGUUAAAGAGAUUUCAUAGUCUAAACAAGUAAUUCUAGUGGAAGUUUGUAGUGCCUGUAGUUUCUAGUUUAAGUCUAGAUUGAUUGUAAGGUUGAGAUUGACUCACAGGAGUAGCUGCAGGAGGUGGUGGAGGUGGCGGGAAGAGGUUCGGUGGCAUAGGUGGUGGAGUUUGACCUAAACUGUGGAAAAUACUCUGCAUGUAUUGGAACAUCUGCUCCGUCCUCUGCCUUUCAAGCUGCCGAUCCGCCUCGAUCCUCGCCUCUAGUUCCUCCCGGCGCUUCCGUUCUACCUCCACAUGGGCCUACAAUAUUUCAUCCCAACCACUUAUUGUCAAGCAAAAGGUAAGUACAAAAUGAAUGAAAAAUUAAAGAAACAGAAAUAACCUGCAGAGCCUGCAUCUGUAGCUGUGCAGCGGUAGGCCGUGGCCGUAUCGCGGGGCUCGAGUCCGUGCUCCUUGCUCGGAUCUGGGAGAGAGUGGGAGUACUGGCAGUAUCGAUCACGCUAUCUCCAAUCCAAUACCUGCCAUGCUUCUUCCCUCCUCCUACCCUCAUCACUAUUUCAGCAUCGAUAUCCUGAGAGCUCGGAUCGAACUCUGGCCCGUGAACCUCCCUCGCCAUGGCUGUGUACUCGGUGACGCGGCUGUGGAUGCUGGGAUGGCUGUACGCCUCGGUCGGGUCCCCCGGGUUGAAGUCGAUGUCUGUCCGGUAGUGUGGGACAAACUUGUCUCUCCUGAGCCUUGGUCCAACUGGCCUCCUCUCAUGUGCAUUACACUCAGUCUUGUAAAGAUGAAGAUGAAAUGAGCUAUGAACAGAUUGCUCUAAGUUUUUUAAUAUGUAGCCCCCAACAACUAUAUGUAGUUUUUGACUGGGAUGUAAGGCAUCAUGUCUAUUAUGUCAUGUAUGGCCGUACGUAUGCCAGGCGUAGACGCGCCCGCGACGUACGCCGGGCAGCUGAGCACGCUGGGCAGGCUCUGCCAGGAUCCAACUCUAGCGACUAAAGAUAGAAAGUUAGACUAGGAAACUUUCAAUUAAGGAGAAUCUUCUCCAUUUAGUUGGGCCAUUGGCCAUAUAUAUACUCAUGUAAUCGCUGGGCAAUGGGCAAGCAAGAAUUAUAUCUCUAAUCUUCCUUUCUCUGUUAAAGCCUACGGCCGAGGGGAAUAACCUCGCCGGAGAAGAUGGCCCACGGCUACGAGCUACGUAGCCGCGGUCCGGCCAGUCGGGGCCUCGACGCCCUUGACAACCUGGUAUCACGGUCACGACGGUCCUCUCCCACCCGCUCCACCCCGUCUUCCACAGCCGCCGGCCUCUACACUAACCCCCCACCAUCUCCGCACUCCUCCAUUGCCUCCGCGCCGCCGCCGUCAGCCAUGGGCGAUCCCACCCUCGCUGAUGUGAUGGAGUUGUUGAAGUCCCUCACCACGGAGGUGACAACCCUGAAGGCUGACAUGGCGGCUAUCAAGGAGAAGCCCUCCUCGUCAUCGACCAGUGCCGCCGGGGGCCGUCCGGACGGGCCGCGCGAUCCUGAGCGCCCCCCCCCCCAAGUUCCACAAAUUAGAUUUUCCCCGCUACGACGGCAAGACCGAUCCGCUGCUCUUCAUAAACAGGUGUGAAUCCUACUUUCGUCAACAGCGCACCAUGGCGGAAGAGCGCGUAUGGCUGGCCUCGUAUCAUCUGGAGGACGUCGCGCAACUCUGGUACACCCAACUCCAGGAGGACGAGGGCCCACCGCCGUGGGGGCGAUACAAGGAGCUCCUGCACCUGCGCUUGGGGCCUCCCCUCCGCUCGGCUCCGCUGUUCGAGCUCGCUGAGUGCCGGCGUACAGGGACGGUGGAAGACUACUCCAAUCAUUUUUAGGCCCUCCUGCCUCGCGCCGGCCGACUGGAUGAGGCUCAGCGCGUCCAGCUCUUCACGGGGGGUCUCCUGCCGCCGCUCAGCCACGCCGUCCGCCUCCACAACCCGGUGACGCUCGCGGCCGCCAUGAGUCUGGCACGCCAAGUCGAGCUAAUGGAGAGUGACCGCUCGGCGCCGCCUCUCCCUCGGGCGCCUCCGCGCAGCCUCCUUCCUGCUCCCGCGCCCAGGCCGGCGCUUCCAGCGCCCCAGCAGCCGCUGGCGCUCCCUGCCCCUCCGAUGGCCGCCCAGCAGGGCCGCGGCGACGGAAACCAGAGGCGCCUCACCCCCGACGAAAUGGCGGAACGGCGCCGUCUGGGCCUCUGUUUUAACUGCAAUGAAAAAUACACACGGGGCCACAACCGGUUUUGCCGGCGCCUCUUCUUCAUUAAAGGCGUGGAGCUCGAGGACACCGGGGACGCCGCUGAUGAUGAGGAGCAUGACGCCGAGGCGCCGUGUUUUUCCCUGCAGGCUGUGGCUGGGGUGCCCAUGGCGAGCACUAUGCAGAUCGCCGUGGUCCUCGGCACCGCGUCCUUCGUCGCCCUUCUCGACUCUAGCAGCACGCACAACUUCAUCUCGGAGGAGGCGACGCGGCGCUCGGGUCUGUCCCCCCACCCACGUCCCCGCCUCACAGCCUUGGUCACCAAUGGCGAGCGGGUGACCUGCGCCGGCGUCAUCCGCAACGCGCCCCUACUCAUCGACGGCGAAUCAUUCCUGGCCGACCUCUACGUUAUGCCACUGGCUGGGUACGACGUCGUCCUUGGCACCAAGUGGCUCGGCGAGUUAGGACCCAUUGUCUGGGACCUCGGCCACCGGCGCAUGUACUUCCUGCUCCAGGGGCGCCUUGUCUCCUGGACCGGUGUGGCCAGCUCGUCUGUGCCGACCCUGAACGCUACAACAGAGGCAUGUUCUCUCUUGGAGGCGCUGUUGCUCUCCUUUGAGGGGCUCUUCGCGGAUCCCGUCGGUCUUCCUCCCAAGCGCACGCACGACCACCGCAUCCUUCUCAAGGCCGACGCCCAGUCGGUCGCCGUCCGCCCUUAUCGGUACCCUGCGGCGCACAAGGACGAGUUGGAGCGGCAGUGUGCCGCCAUGCUGGAUCAAGCAAUCGUCCGCCGCAGCGACUCACCAUUCUCGUCCCCCGUCCUCCUCGUCAAGAAGCCCGAUGGUUCAUGGCGCUUUUGCGUCGACUACCGCGCGUUAAACGCGCUCACCGUCAAGGACGCUUUUCCGAUCCCGGUGGUUGACGAGCUCCUCGACGAACUCCAUGGCGCCAAGUUCUUCUCCAAGCUGGACCUCCGAUCCGGGUACCACCAGGUGCGCAUGCGCCCAGAGGACGUACACAAGACGGCGUUCCGCACCCAUGAUGGCCUGUACGAGUUCCUUGUGAUGGCGUUUGGGCUGUGCAACGCCCCGGUGACGUUCCAGGCCCUGAUGAACGAUGUGCUCCGCCCAUUCCUUCGCCGCUUCGUCCUGGUAUUUUUUGACGAUAUUCUGAUUUAUAGCAGGACGUGGGCUGAUCAUCUUCGCUACCUCUGGGCCGUCCUCGACGAACUACGCCGCCACCACCUGUUCGUGAAGCGCACCAAGUGCUCCUUUGGGGCCUCAUCCGUCGCUUACCUCGGCCAUGUCAUAUCCGCGCCCGGUGUGGCCAUGGACCCGGCCAAGGUGCAGGCAAUACACGAUUGCCCCCCCCCCACGUUCGCCCCGGGCGGUGCGUGGUUUCCUCGGCCUCGCCGGCUACUACCGCAAGUUCGUCCACAACUACGGGGCGAUCGCUGCUCCUCUGAUGGCCCUACUUAAGAAGGAGGGUUUCUCCUGGGACGACGCGGCGGCUGCGGCAUUCACAGCGCUCAAGGCCGCCGUCACGUCCGCCCCAGUCCUUGACAUGCUCGACUUCGCCAAGAUGUUCACCGUUGAGUGCGACGCGUCGACGGUGGGCUUCGGCGCAGUCCUGGUCCAGGAGGGUCAUCCGGUCGCCUUCUUCAGCUGGCCCGUGGCUCCUCGCCACCGCUCGUUGGCCGCAUAUGAGCGCGAGCUCAUCGGACUUGUCCAGGCGGUCAGGCACUGGCGUUCGUAUCUCUGGGGGCGGCGUUUCAUCAUCAAGACCGACCACUACAGCCUGAAGUACCUCCUUGACCAGCGCCUCGCCACGAUCCCUCAGCACCACUGGGUAGGCAAGCUGUUGGGCUUCGAUUUCUCGGUGGAAUAUCGUUCGGGCGCCACGAACAUCGUCGCCGACGCCCUCUCCCAUCGCGACAAUGACGACGGCGCACUGAUGGCUAUUUCGGCACCCCGUUUUGACUUCAUCGAGUGCCUCCGUCACGCCCAGGCCAGUGAUCCGGCCUUGGUCACCAUCCACAACAAGGUCCGGGCUGGCACCCGCACCACGCCGUGGGCGCUGCUGGACGGCAUGGUCGCCUUCGAUGGCCGCUUGUACAUCCCCUCGGCUUCCCCGUUGUUGCAGGAGAUCAUGGCAGCGGUCCAUAACGAUGGCCAUGAGGGCGUCCACCGUACCCUCCACAGGCUCCGGAGGGAUUUUCAUUUUCCAUCCAUGCGUCGAUUGGUGCAGGAUUUUGUGAAGGCCUGCGUCAUAUGUCAGCAGUACAAAUCCGACCACCUUUGGCCGGCCGGUCUGCUGCAGCCUCUGCCGGUCCCAUUUGCUGUGUGGGCUGACAUUGGCAUCGACUUCAUCGAGGCGCUGCCCAAGGUACAAGGCAAUACGGUCAUCCUCUCCGUCGUGGAUCGCUUCAGCAAGUAUUGCCAUUUCAUCCCCCUAGCGCACCCCUACACUGCCGAGUCUAUCGCCUACGUAUUCUUCGCCGACAUCGUGCGGCUCCAUGGCGUUCCGCAGUCCAUCGUCUCAGACCGCGAUCCCAUGUUCACCUCGGCGUUUUGGCGGGAGCUCAUGCGGCUCACAGGGACGAAGCUCUACAUGUCGUCCGCCUUUCACCCACAGACGGACGGCCAGACCGAGGCUGCCAACCGGGUCAUCGUAAUGUACUUGCACUGCUUCACCGGCGACCGUCCCCGGCAGUGGCUCCGUUGGCUGCCAUGGGCUGAGUACACGUACAACACCGCCUAUCAGUCCUCGCUCCGCGACACUCCGUUUCGUGUGGUCUAUGGCCGGGACCCCCCGACCAUCCGCUCCUAUGAGACCGGCGAAACCCGCGUCGCCGCAGUCGCCCAAGAGAUGGAGGAGCGCGCUACCUUUCCUCGACGACGUCCGCUAUCGCCUUGAACAGGCUCAGGUGGCCCAGAAGCGCGUAUACGACCAGCACCACCGGCCGGUCUCAUUCCAGGUCGGCGAUUGGGCUCUCCUUCGUCUACGGCAGCGAGCAGCAGCGUCCCUCCCACGCUCGGCCAAAGGGAAGCUCAAGCCGCGCUAUGUCGGGCCGUACCAGGUGACGGAGCUCAUCAAUGAAGUGGCUGUGCGGCUCCUGCUUCCUCCCGGUGCUCGUCUUCAUGAUGUAUUUCACGUCGGCGUCCUCAAGAAAUUCGUAGGCUCCCCACUGGCGGUUCCUCCGCUCAUGCCUCCGCUCCUACACGGUGCUGUGGUGCCUACCCCAGCUCGGGUGACUAGUGCUCGACUGGCCCGUGGCGUCCGCCAGGUGCUCGUGGAAUGGCAGGGAGAACCUACUGCUUCGGCUACAUGGGAGGAUCUGGACGACUUCCGGGCUCGGUUCCCUUCCUUUCAGCUCGAGGACGAGCUGGACUUCGAGGCGGGGGAGAUGUCAUGUACGGCCGUACGUACGCCAGGCGUAGACGCGCCCGCGACGUACGCCGGGCAGCUGAGCACGCCGGGCAGGCUCUGCUAGGAUCCAACUCUAGCGACUAAAGAUAGAAAGUUAGACUAGGAAACUUUCAAUUAAGGAGAACCUUCUCCAUUUAGUUGGGCCAUUGGCCAUAUAUAUACUCAUGUAAUCGCUGGACAAUGGGCAAGCAAGAAUUAUAUCUCUAAUCUUCCUUUCUCUGUUAAAGCCUACGGCCGAGGGGAAUAACCUCGUCGGAGAAGAUGGCCCACGGCUACGAGCUACGUAGCCGCGGUCCGGCCAGUCGGGGCCUCGACGCCCUUGACAUAAUACAUGACACACAGUAAACUGCAUCCAAAAUUUUGCAGCUUCUCCUACAGUCGUUCUCUACCUUCCGAAAAUCAAUCUGUCUUCAUUACUUUCAUCUUCUCCUUGUACAGUUCAGCUUCCACCAACCUAUAUGCAGUCAUCAUCAAGUUAGAUAAAAAGGUUAAUUGAAAAGACAACCAUAUCAAUUUGGCCUACAAUGGUUGUUUUUUUAUAAAAAAUAAUAUGACGGUUGUCAAUUUGGGCCUACGACGGUUGGCAAAUGAACUCACCUGUCUGAAGCGCGUGGCAGAAGUGAGCGUGCAGCAAGAGCUCACGUGGCGUUCCAACUCGAACCUUGCAAGUCUCGCACGGAAAUCCAGGUGUCUUGUGCACAUCCACGAAAUGCAGAAGUAUAUUUUGAGGAAAUGCAAGCCGAUCAAUGCUAUGAAUCUAUCUGCAGAACUAGCUAGUUUCAGAACACAAUAAACACCUCUAAAUACUCACAACAGAGAGGGGGAACUAGACUGUUUUCGACAGUAGUCGUGCGGCUCAAAAAUACACCUGUGCCACAGGAUUCUCUUGCCACAAGUUAAGCUUUCCUGACAGUAGCUGGCAAACAAACAAAACUCCUGACCCCAAACAGGCUCGUCACCGGCCACUUAGAAAUAAAUGAAAAAUACCUGACAAAUUAGUCAUCAUAGAGCUUGGCAAUGCACUAGAAAGCACAAAAACUACAAUUUGAACACAUUUUUUUGAGUGAUGUCAGAUUAGCAACCAUGAUACGAUUUUAAGGAUAGAAAUGCAAACUUGAAUUUGAACAAUAUUUGCUAGUUUCUUGGAUCAUCAACCAAGACAUAAUUUCAGGGUAAGAAAUGCAAACUGCAAUACUGCAAAAUUUCAAAGAAAGAAAUUUAAACUACAAUCUAUACCCAUUUUCUUAUAGGCUAUUUGAUCAGCAACCAAAGCAUGAUUUCAGUGGAACAAUUGCAAACUGCAACCCAAACCCAUUUACUCGCAGGUUAUUGGAUCAACAUCCAAGACAUAAUUGCAGGGAAAGAAAUGCAAAGUAGAAUCUGAACACAUUUUCUUGCAGGUUACUGGAUCAAGAACCUGGGCAUGAUUUCAGAGAAAGAGAUGCAUACUUGAAUCGAAACACAAUUCCUUGCAGGUUAUUGAAUCAACAGCCAAAACAUAAUUUCAGAGGAAAAAAAUGCAAAAUGCUGUCUAAAUACAUUUUCUCACUGGCUACCAGAGCAGCGACCAAGACAAAUUUCAGAGCAAGAAAUGCAAUCUGCAAUCUAAGCGCAUUUACUUCAGGCUGUUAAAGCUGAACAGCAACCGCGGCACAAUUUCAGAUUAAGAAAUGCAAGAGUCGGAUUACCGGUGGGAGGGCCGGGGUGGGGGCCGAGCCGGCGGCUGUGGCGUUGUUGGAAUCCUGCGACUCGGGCUCAUCGCUGCGGCGUACCUGCGGCGCCGGAUCAUUGUGGCGCGCCAGCUUGUCGCUGCGGUGUGCCUUGGGCAGCUUGCCGUACAUGAAGGCGUAAUUGCGCUGUCCCCCGUUGUCCUCGUGCCGUCCGCUGCGCUCCAUGGCGACGACGACACCGGCGGCGGCGCCGUUGCUUUGGCGCCUCAGCAAGAAGAGCACGCGGCCGACGCCGUACACGAAGCCGCACGCGUACAUCCAAAUAUACCGGACCACGUCCAACCAACGCGCGCGCCGCGGCGGAGGCUCCUCGGCGGUGGUGGCCUCCUGCGCCGGCGGCGGGUCGGACGCCCAACGGCUCGGCGAGCUUAUCGGCUCGGGCUCGGCCCUCCUCCUCCCAAGCCUGCUCCAUGGGCGUUCUUGAUCAACCCUGCAGGGGCGUUCUUGAUUCAAGAACUCUGCAGGGGAGUUCUUGAUUCAAGAAAGGCAGCGAGCCUCGAUUGCUGCAGGGAAGCGGGGUGGGGAGGUUGCGAGGAGGAAGGCGAAGCUUCUUGUUCGGCAAUGGACGUGGUGGAAGGGAGAAGGCAGAGGAGGGCGAGGGGAUUCUUGUUUUCGUGGGGAGCAGGGCGCGGAGGUUCGGGGUUUAUAUUGAUGUUCUUGGAGCGUGGCGUCGGGUGGUUGGUUGGCGGUGUUCAGGCACGAGGGGCGGAGGGAGUGCGAGAGGCGGCGAGGUUGUUUCGUUUCUUGAAUCGGUGAGGGAUGCGGCGAGGGCCGGCCGGCUGCAGCUUUUGAAGAGGAGGGAGGGAUGGAGGGAAGAAGGGGAGGAUCGAAUUCGGAUGAAGGGGGGAAGAGUCGGUUCCUGUUGUUGGCCGUUAGCUCUGACAGCUAUGGCCGUUCCCACAUAAUUUGGCCAAGGUAAAUGUCCAGACAGUAUUUUUUUUUUUACAUUUGACGUGCCAGCGAACAGGUAUACUUGAAAGAAAAAUGUACUUUUCAGUAAUGUUAAUAUUGUUUGUGAAUUGAGAUUCUCAAUCCCAUGUUGCUACUUGCCUUCGCCAUUUCCCAACACUUUGCAUGAUAUUUGCAUUUUAUCCCCAUCAAAGGCUUAAAGCUUCUUAACGUGCGAAUAAGUGUGCUCACAGUUCCUAGAUAAAACAGUAGGACAGGAGUUGCGCAUAUAAUCAUUUACAGCAGAAACUUUAUUGAUUUGUCGACAAGAUCACCACUUGCGACUAAAAAUUACUGAUAAAGCAUUACAGUUACAGGCACAUUCAGACGUGCGAAUAAGUGUGACAUGUACUGUUGUUUGCACCUCCUAGAUAAAGCAGUAAGACUGGAGUUGCACAUGUAAUCAUUUACAGUAGAAGCUUUAUUGAUUUGUCGACAAGAUCACCAUUUGCAAGUGAAAAGCAUCACAAUUACAGGCAUAUUCAGAUAUUAUCAGAAGAAUUACAACUUUCAUCUGGCUACAUUGUCAAAGCAACCAACAAAGGCCAAGCUCCCAUUCUGCCGUUGGUGUUCAUCUGCCGUCAGGCUUCCUCUGAGGCUGGAAUGAACUUGAGUGAAAUGCUGUUAACACAGUGUCGCUCAUUGGUAGGCGUUUUAAACCCUUCCCCUUUGAAUAUAUGCCCCAAAUGUCCUCCACAGGCAGCACACGUGAUCUCUGUCCGCCUCCCAUCAGGGUCCGGCUAGUGUUGAAAAACAAGAUUGGUUAAUUAGAGGAGGUCAGAGAUCAAUGAUCAUUCCUCAUCCUGUGUGAAACAGAGAAUAGUACAUACCGUCUGUCUUAUGGCCCCAGGAAGUCCCUCAUAGAAUGCCGGCCAGCCACACCCUGAGUUGAACUUUGUAGAUGAUUUGUAUAAGGGAGUUCCACAUCCAGCACAUUCAUAAAUGCCCUCAUCAAAGAACUUGUCAUAUUCACCUGUUCCAGGGUACCUGGGAUCAGAUGAUCAAAUGGAUUCAGAACAGUUACGGCACCUGUUAAUAGUUUAGCAGAGAAACAUCUUUACCACACCAUAUACCAAACAUCAGUCAGAAACUAAUAGUUCUACCAUGCUCCCAUGCUAUAACAAUUUGGCACGUAACAACGACUUGCAUGCUACAGACACAAAUGCAUGCUUGCCUUUUGAAACAAACUAAUGGAUUGCCCUACAUUUUAGCAAUUCAUAUUUUAUAACAGCAGAAAAUGGUGGUGAUGUCAAUAGGUCAGAUACCAGAUACAGAUAUUUAGGAUUGCAGCAACACUCACAAAAAAUAACUCGGGAGUAGUUAGUUUAUCAAAUAGUUCACAACUUUUCUCAAGCUCCACACUCAAAAUAUACACCAGAAAUCUUAACAAUUUAUGAAUUCUAAGGUACUUGCUAUUAUUAGUUUGCAUCCAUAGCCGCUAAUUGGCUACUGACUUACUGAGAUGUUAAAAGCUGCAAUUGGACUACAAAGGAAAUGAUUUUUCUCCAUCUUGGUUUAUUGCAAUGACAAGACAACAUUUUUUUUCUAUAUUAUAACACCCACAGUUAUCCAGGCUAGCCUAAAUUAUAGAAUCUCUCUGGAUUUGUAAAAUAACCUUCACAAGAUGGUAAUAACCAACACCUUUUGUGAUGAACUUUAAUGUGCAGCACCAGUUGCUACGGAGUACCAUUAUGUAAAAUGUUAAAUGUGGCUAGCUUGUUAGUUGAAGUAGAUGCUUUUGUUAGCAGUCUGGUAAAUUGCUAGCCACACAGUCCUUCUUUGAACAACUUCAUCAGCAUUUUCCAGCUAAUUACAAAUUUUCUUCAACAUUUUACAAGCCAGCUACCAAUGUACUAUGCAAAUACUAGUAGAAAAUCAGAAUCAGGUUCUGCAGUUAAAUGCACGACGCUGACAUGCAGGCGGCUAGCUAUCGAUUCAGUGAUAUGUUAUAACACCAAAGCAUGGUGCUGUGCAUUUCUAGGAGAUCUUUCUUGAUGCUUAUGCAAUUGAAUUCAACUUGGGGUUGAUCAGUAUCCAGGGAUUAUCCGAUUUGGUCACUACAGUCAACAACACAUUACCCAAGUUCAGUAACAACAGUGAAGGACAAGAGAUGUGACCGUAUGCCGUCCAAAUCUUACUCUGUGCCCUUGCGGCGGAGGAUGUUGAACUGCUCCGGCGUGAGGAUGGCCUGCCACUCCUCCUCCGACUUCUGCACGGGCGCCGGCGGCGGGGUCGACGACGACAUCGCCGCCACGCCCGGGAACCGCCGUCCCGCCGCGUGGCCCCGGCACGGCCGCGCCGCGCACGAGAGGGGCGCGGGCCGAGGGCGCGCGGCGGCCGGCGAGGGGGCGAGGAGGAAGGAGGAGAGCGGGCGCGCGGCGCGCGGCGCCACGGCGGCGGGGUGGGGGCACGAGUGCGACGCCAUCCUCAGCCUCAGCAGACGCUGCACGCCCAUGUCUCGCGGCAGCAGUGCGCGGCGCAAGUGUGACGUGUCGCGUUCGUUGCCUGAUAAGGUUCUGGUCUUCCGGACUCGUCCUCUGGUUUCCGAUGGAAUGGAGGCACGACGCUGCAGCUGGCCAGCUACAAUAUUUCCUUGAAAUUAUUUUUUCCCCUUGUUCCUUUAUUCUUUUUAGUUGUUUGACUGAUCAGCCUUGAGAAAUCUGGAAAGAAACUAAGGGCAUAUUUGGACGCGACGUUAUCAACUUUAGGACAUGUCACAUCGGAUGUUUAGAUACUAAUUAGAAGUAUUAAAUAUAAUUUAAUUACAAAACUAAUUACACAGAUGGAGUCUAAUUUGCGAGACGAAUCUAUUAAGUCUAAUUAGUCCAUGAUUUGAUAAUGUGGUGCUACAGUAACCAUUUGCUAAUGAUGGAUUAAUUAGGCUUAAUAGAUUCGUCUCGCGAAUUAGUAUAGGGUUCUGCAGUUAGUUUUAUAAUUAGCUCAUGUUUAGUCCUCCUAAUUAGCAUCCGAACAUCUGAUGUGACCCUUCUAAACUAGUAUCUGAUGGCUGAUGUCAGGAUCUCUGUCGGACUGAAUAGUGAAUACUGACAUGUCAACCUUCGGGGGGGAGACAAUCCUGAAGACUGAUGCACAGCUCUGAACAAAAAUGCCUCGCUUCUCAUGCUGGCUAGUAAUAUCUUCUCAGGUUUUAACAAAAUGCAUAAAGCAAAAACCAUUGGAAUAUUCUUUUCGAAAAAAAAUCAUUGGAAUUGCUGGACAAGGAAUUUCAAGUUUCACAUUCUAACAUGUGAAAUAGUUUAUAUGAUACUGAUGAAGUUCGAUGGAGCGAGAGGGUGAAAGUUCAGUGUCCUGUGAUCAUUGGAUUCAUUGCCAGGACUCAACCGUCAGAGCAGUGAUUUGAAGUUGCAAACAUUGCUCACACAGAGUACCACAUCCAGAACCUCACAUAGCCGAGACACAUAGCGUGAUUCCCGGACUGCUGAGGUAACUGAAACAUUUUAGGAGCCGACAACCCAAAAUACAUAGCGUGACUCCCGGACUGAAGCUGAAGUAACUGAAUAUUUGAGAUGCUGACAACCCAAAAAUCGUUUCAUCAGCAAAGAUUUUUCAAUAAUAUAUGAAAACCCAUUAACACUAUUCUCUAUCUUCAGUCCUCCGCUCUUGUUAUUAACCCAUGAGCAUACAUGAGAAAGAUGGUUCUACAUAUGUUUGGCAUAGAAAUGCCAAGUACAUCAGUAUGAAAGUUUAGAAAUACAUCAUUAUGCAGUUAAAAGUACAACAUUUAAGGAUAUCUGAACAAAAAUGCCUGGCUUCUCAUGCUGUCUAGCAUUAUUUUCUCAGGUCUUAACAAAUGCACAAAGCAAGUUCUACUGGAAGAGCUGAACAAGGAGUUUGAAGUUUCAGAUUCUAACACGUGAAUCGUUUACAUGAUACUGAUGCAGUUCGGUUGAGCCCUAUGCAUACAUUUUUUUUUGAAACAGAGGGAAAAAAAUAUUCAACCCAAAUUUAAUAUAAUUGAGGAAAAAAUGGAACAAAUUUGCAGUGUCCAGCAUAGAUCACUGUCAGGACUCAACAAAAAUCAGGGCAACGAUUCGAAGUUGAAAACAAUGGUCACACUGCACCACAUCCAGAACCUCACAUAACUGAGAUACACAAUGCAACUCCCGGACUUAAGUAACUGAACAUUAGUUAAUGAGCGGACAACCCAGAAAUAGGAACCUGGAACCUAUCUUUCAUCAGUCAAGAUUUUCCAAUAUUACAUGAAACCAAUCGGCACUCCUCUCUAUCUUCAAACUUCAGUCCUCUGCUCUUGUUAUUAACCCCUGCGCACACAUGAGAAAUAUGGUCCGAUAUAUGUUUGGCAGAGAAACACCAAGUAUGUCAGUAAGAAUGAUGACAAAUACAUCAUUAUUCAGUUAAACAUACAACGUUGAAGGAUAUCUGAAUAUACUACUGGAACUCUAAUCUACAGUUUGAAUGUAUCCAGCACUAGGUUUACCAAGCGCGCAUGCUUCAAAAUUGAUAGUCUAAUGACUGCAUCAUAUACAAAAGAGCAUCAAGCUUAAGGCCUACAUGCAAGCUCGUCAGAUAGCAAUUGAUACAAUGCAACCAAUUAUCGAACAAAUUCAUCAUCAGAGUCAUCAUAAUCGCUGUACUCUUCCUCCUCACUUUCUACCUCCUCCAGAAAUGCAUUCAUGUCAGAAGAUUCUUCAGCCUCCAUUUCCUCAACUCCGAUUGUAUCAUACUUCAUGCGCUCAUCAAAUCUGGCAUCGGAACAGUUAAGAAGCCAUGCAAGGGAGCAAGUGAACCCCUUCCUGGACACCAUCUCAUGCCGAGGCCUCACAGUCGACUCAAGGCCAUAUGUGAAGAACGCAGGGAACUCAACCAGCUCCUCCAAAUCCCUCUCCAUCUCAUUCUUGAAGUACUCGAAGUUCAUCCUCAUAAUAUCCAUGUUCAGCGCGAGCAAUUGGGGGCACGCCACAACCAUCUUGCUCACUUGCGAGAGCAUAAAACCACAGGCUGUGAGAAAAUUGACAUGCUUCAGAACCGCAGUUCGUCCAAGGUUAAUGGCCUGUGGCAUCCUCUCGAUCACUCUCCCAAAAUCAUCAUGGCUGACCAAAAUGCUUGACUCGAACAAGCUCUGCUGUGUAACAAGCUUGUCCCUCAGCUCAAGUCCGAGAACAUCAGGGUACUGCAUCACAAUGGACGCUAGUGCCUCCUUCCUCACUCCAAACUCCAUCAGCGCCUCAAUGUUAGGCUUAACCUUAUCCUCUAAUCCAAACCCAAGGACAUAGGGCUUCUUCUCAAUUAUCCUUGCAGCAGAUAACCUCUGGACCCCAAUGCCCUCAAGGUAUUCGAUGAAAGGCUUUAUAAUCUUCCCCACCCGCAUGCCAAGCACCUCGGGAAAACGGGUUAUGACGCUGCCGAUCUGGCGCCUCGCGACGCCAAUGCCAACGAGGUAUGCGAUGGAAGUGCUCAUGGUUCCCUCGAGCUUGAAGCCGAGGAGCUCUGGGUAGCGCUCGAGCACGCGCGGCACGUCAUUGGGCCUGACGUCCAUCCCCUGGAGGUACUUGACGACGGGGGCGAGAUCGACGACGACGCUGGCGUGCAGCACCUGCGGGUAGCGACGGAGCAGGUCCGGGAGCGCGUCGCGGCGGACGCCGAGCUUGCCGAGGUAGUCGAGGACGGGGACCAUGUUCUUGCGCACGCUGCAGCCGAGCGCGAGCGGGUAGGCGGCGAGGUCCUCGCGGGUGAGGCCGAGGGAGGCGAGGAACUCGGCGCGUUCCCGCAUGACGUCGACGGUGACCGGUAGCUCGAAGCCCGCGAGCUCGCCCGGGUCCACGCCGAGGGAGGCGAGGAAGGCGUCGACGUCGGCGCGGCGGGCGGCGCGCUCGCGCUCCAUGUCGAGAAGGCUGGGGCGGGCGUAGAGGGAGGACGAGGGCGGGCGGCGCGACGGCGCGGGGCGGGGGGAGCGGCGGGCUGCGCGGGGCGGGGCGGAGGCGGAGGCGGAGGAGGAGGAGGCGCGGAGGCGGAGGAGGCUGCGGAGGCGCGGGGCGGGGAGGAGCGGCGGCGUGGGGUGGGUGGAGAAGAGGAGGGACUUCAUCAUUGGGACUUGGGAGUGGCAAGAGGUGAGCGAGGAGAAGAGGUUUGGGGGGACGAUGAGAUGGAGCCGCAGAGGAAGACAGGCAGCCAGAGGUGCGGCUGAGACCGCGAGUGCGAGACGGGUUGAAGAACGGGAGAUGACGCCCCGGGUGAUUUUUUUUUUUAGUAAAGUCCGUUAGCUUGUGUCAUUCUUGUUUCCGAACUCGCAAAUUGCAGAUUAACUUCCUAAACUUAUAGGUAUCAUCCCAAUCUCUAAACUCGAAAACUGCUGAUUUAGACUUCUAAAUUUAGUUUAAGGUGUUAUCUCGAUUUCAGAACUCGCAAACAUGAACAACAAAGCUAUGAACUUAGCUUUGGCAUCCAUGCAUAAAUGGAUCCGAGUGAAAGUAUGAAGCCACAAAACAUUCAGAUUGAGCUCUGCUAGUUGUGUAUGCAAUAUCAUAAGCUAUGGAUGCAGUUUUGGCAAGUAUAAAUGGACGGAACGGGUGAAAGCAUUCUAGAACCAAGGAUGAUCUUGGCAACUUAAUCUUUUUUUCACCGUGCUUUUUAGAUUUAGGGCGAAACUCAUGUUCUCGCCCUUUUGAUUAGGUACACAACAAGUGACAUAUUACUGUAGAAAUUUAUGUAUGGACUAUGGAUGGAAGAGAUAAGAUGGACUAAGUUUGUUCGGUCAUUUAUGGAAAAACUUGUAGGUGCAUAGCAUGCAUUUUGCCUCACUUAGUAAUCAGCAUAGACACAAUUACACGAGGGUUUUUUUAUUGAACAAAUAUAGAAGUUAAAUAUGUAUCAAUACACUUCGAAAAGUGCCUGCUUGCGAGUUUGAGAUCAAAAUGACACCAGAAACUAUGCUUGAGAGUUUGAGAUCAAAAUGACACUAGAAACUAAGUUUAUGAGGCUAAAUCUGCAAUUUGCAAGUUUAGGCACCGGAAUGACACCCGAAGCUAAAUUUAGGGAGCUAAAUAUGCAAUUUGCGAGUUUAGGGAUGAGGAUGACACGACGUGACAAGUUUGAGGAUCGUUUAUGGAAUUUACUCAUUUUUAUAUAUAAACUUUAAAAAAUUGCUUUUGCUAGAUAAUCAUAAUCAAUCAUAUUCUAAUGACUAAAAAGAUUGCACGGAGUCUUAUAUUAUGCGUUUGUAGGAAGUAAAUAUUUUACGGUAAUGGGCGUCCGAUGUCUAUAAAAAAAAUCGGACAUCCCAUUAUUACUAUGGAUGUUGCUGUAGAAAUUUUUAGAUGUGUCUUUGUUGCGAUAGGUAUGAGAUGAUGUUGCAGUGGAAAUUGCACUCCAACCUCAGCGAUAAAUGUUACGUGAAAAUUCUUUACACAUAUCUUAUUACGAUAGGCAUGCAAUAAUGUUCUAAAGAGAUUUUCAUCCAAAUUGUGUUGUGGUGACAAAUAUUGAAUGUUGCAAUAUCGCAUAUUGAAUGUUGCAAUGUUAUAUAUUGUGUCUUUCCGUUACAUGCCGCCAAAAAAUGUAAAUUUUGUUUAAAUUUUUAAUAUGAUUUUAGUGUGUUGCAACUGUAGUUGGAAAUGUUCCAAUUAUAAUUUUUAAAUGUUGCAAAAGGUAUGCGUCGAUGUUGAAAACUUUAUUUCUACGUGACGUCACUCAUUAUGGAUGUUGCAUGAAACAAUAUGUCAUGUUGCGGCGAAAAUUUUCUAUACUAGGUUGGAUGACCAAGUCAUUUUUAUACAUAGUUUUUAAUGUUGCCAACGGUGAUUUCUAGUGUUGUAGCAAUUCAUUUUUAUUUUUGCAAUGUAGCGUCCGAUGAGAAACAUCUAACCGGAGCGCUAAUAUCUCCGAAUAUUUUAAGUACAUGUAUGUUUAGCUACAAACCAGCGACUUCUUUUUUCCUUGCCAACACUAACAGAAAUAAACACCCCAAAAAGUAUAUAAAUUUUUUAACCAGCCAUAUAUUUUGGGUGUGGGUAUUAACCUUGUGACCUUAGCUCAAAUUGAAGUGUCAAAAUAGGUUCCUCGUAAUCCCAUCCCUCCUAUUUCUCUAUUCCCCUAUGUUCCUUGCAUGUACGAGGACAUUAAGGGCUAGUUUGGCCACGCUCCUUAGGGCUCCGGCUCCUGCACCAUAGUGUGUCAGGAGGCCUCAGGAGCCGGAGCUGAAGGAGCCAUAAUUUGUGGCUCUUCCGGUGGCUGUGGGAGGGAGGAAGACUCGGGUAAACAGUAUCACUACAGUAGAUGAACAAUGAUACAUCAGAAGGAGCCGGAGUUCGAAGGAGUUGUGCCAAACUGUCCCUAAAUGAUGGGCAGCUUUGGUGUUCCAUGUACGAUGACAGUUUACAUUAUUGAGCGGAGGUGCAAGUAGCGGAGGCCGGCAUAAGACAGGCGCGAGGAAGGGAAGCAAACUAGUACAUAUUGUAUUUAUAAUUAUAAUUACACAAUGGGUAAAUAUACAUCAUGGUAGUUUGAAAUUGCUGGAAGGUUGAUUGUUAGAUUGUGGAAUAUUGGAGGGACACAUUGUAGAAUUAGAGAAAAAAGGUUGCACUCUAGGAAAUUAGAAAGUGUGGUAAGAAAGAGAAGUGACACCAGCUCAGUUUAGUCGGGAGAUGUGCAAAGGCUUUUCAAACCACUACCUACGGAUCAGACCUGAGCAAACCUUGGACCGGACUGGGCUAGCAAAAAGGCCGGUUUUAUUUGAGCCUAAAAUCUUCACCCAAACUUGCCCAUUAACUCCACCGGGCCCAAUUCAGGCUGGGCUCGGGCUAGGGUCGAGCCGUCCAUCAUUUGUUAGUGUAAAUUUAAUUUAUUUUAUUAUUUGGGUUGGGCUCAGGUCCACCCAUUUUUUCGGGCCACGAAAAUUAGCGCCACGUCUGGUCCUAAAUGAGCACGGAUCGGGCUUAGCCCGUCGGGCUCAGGCUGGGCCUAUUUUGCUCAUGUCUACUCUGGACAUUAAAACCUACCAAAGGGAGGGCAUGCAAAGAGGCGCGGAAGGUCGUGCAGACACUCCUGUCAAAUUCGCUAAUAGCUUGAUCGACAAUGCUCUGUGUACAUCCGUCAUGUAGGCAACGCUCUGCAUGGUGAAGUUUUGAUCUUUACGACGAAGCCUUUGUACAUGGCACUCUCUCAUUUUUUGAACACCCUUUUACGCAAGCAAUCCAGUUGUUAUCAUUCCCUCUUCUUGGUACCCGUCACCAUAGUCCACAAGAGGCAUAUUUGGUCUAACGAUUCAUUAGUAAUGAUCAUCCAAUCCAAAUAAAUUGUGGUUUUUGUGAGCAACAAAAGGAAGUAAAAAAAGAGCAUAAUUUUAGUAUGACUCACGAGCCCUACCAAAGGUGUCAUCUACAAUAUCAAUUUUUUCACUGAAUUCACUAUGUGAUAUAUUUUGAUAGUGCAUAUAUUUGGUAGUAUAGCUGUUGUUAUUUUUUUUAUAAAUUUGAUCAAGUUUGAGUUAAGACAAAUCUAACGUGACAUGUAAAAAACCUUGAGGGAGUAUAUAGAAUAGACAUUGUCAACCUUUUACUACUCUAACCAUUGAAAGAACAUCACAAUGAUAAAUUAAGCAUAUAGUGUAACAAAAACACACAUAUUAUUACAAUUUUAUAGUGAGUAAAACUUUAUAGCAAUGGUGAACAUAUAUACAUAUAACACUCUUGAGUUUAUUCCUAGGUCAAUUUAUUGGGCCGCCGGACCCGAGCUGAACUCGGGCAUUUUUUUGAACUGGGCAAUUUUUGGCCCAUUUGCGGCGGCAGUGUGAUUUCAGAAAUGCGAAAUCCCCGACCGCCACCGUGCUCCAGCCUCCACUCCGGACCAGCAGGCCGCACCUGACAUGUUCGCCUCCAUCUGCCGGCGGCGGCUCCUCCGCCUCCGGCAAAUUCCCUCCGCCGCCGGCACAAACCCCAGCUGGCCCAACCCCAUCGACGCCCCCCUCUCCCACGGCCACUCCGCAGCUGCCCUCGCGGGCGCCACCGUCUCCGAGCCCUGCCCCAUCACCGUCUCCUACCUGAUCUCCUGCGGACUCUCCCCCGCCGCCGCGGCCGCCCACAAGCUCCGCAUCCGCUCCACAGACAGGGCUGACACCGUCCGCGCCCUCUUCCGCAGCUAUGGCUUCACCGACGCGGAUAUCACCGAGAUGGUCCGCCGAGACCCGCGGAUUCUCACCCUCGACCCCGACCGGAUCCUCCGCCCUAAGCUCGAUUUCUACGCCUCCCUCGGGGUCCAGCCCCGAAAGCUCGCCACCACGCCGCUAUUUGUCACGCGCAGCCUCAACAAGCAUCUCGUCCCCUGCAUCCAGUUCCUCCGCGGCAUCCUCGGCACCGACGGCAAGGUCUGCCGAGCGAUCUCCCGCAAUCCAAGCGGCCUCACUCAGGCUGACCUGGAUAAGAACAUGCGCCCCGCCGUAGACACGCUCCGCCGCCUCGGGCUCCCCGAGGAGUCCAUCUCGAAGCUCCUCACCAUUGAACUGGGUGUGCUCAGGCUUUCUCCCGACCGGAUGAGCCAGAUUUUCGAGGACCUCAAGUCGCUUGGCCUGGGCGUGACGGACACGGGCUUGCUCUACGGCAUCCGCGCACUCUCCUGCAUCAGUAGGGAGACGUGGCUGCGAAAGGUGUCCCUGUACAAGAGCUUCGGGGUGUCUGAGGGUGAGCUGCUGAAGGCGUUCAAGACACAGCCCACGAUGCUUCUCUUCUCCGAUGAGAGCAUUAAGAAGAAGCUCCGCUUCUUGCUGGAUGAGCUGAAGCUUGAACUAAGUGAAGUAAUGAGGCUACCUGUGGUAAUAAGUUAUAGCGUGGAGAAGUGCAUCAUACCAAGGUGCGCAGUGCUGAGGGUGUUGAUGAGGGAGGGGAAGAUUGAGCCCAACAUCAAUUUACUUUCAGCAUUGAUUGGUAGUGCCAAGAUUUUCUCCAAAAGGUAUGUAUUGAGGUAUGCUCACGAUGUGCCGGAUGUUGUCAAGGCAUAUGAGGGUAAGAUUGCAUUUGAAGGAUUCAGGGAUCGGGAUGUUUUAGUUCCACUGAAGCCUUCAGGCUAAUCUCAGUAGGGUUAAAUCAAAUGGUCAGGCAGCAUGUUUCCAAUGCCAUUGAGAUCAAGGCAUGCUAUAUCAAUGGCACUGUUUCGUUGUGCGAUGUUAUUUCUGGCUAUUUUUAACUCAACCAUCUUCAUAGUCUUCAUAGCAUCUGCCAUUUUGUAGCCUCUGGCCUAACAAAUCUAGAAACAUAGAUCUUAUGUUAUCGAAGUAACUUAAUCUGGUAAGUUGAAUUGGUGCAUUCUGGUUGUUUAUGCCUUUUGAAGCUCUUUCAAUAAAAUUAUGAUUUUGAAAUAUGUCGCUGGAAUGACUUUAGUGCUUCUUUUACUAUCUGGAUGAAGACUCUGUGUUCCUUUCUAAUAUGUAAAUUUUUCAUCUAUUAACAUCUGAGAAGAUCCCAAUUUUGUUGAUCCUUGUGAUGCAAAGUGUUCAUGUACAGAAUUGUUGAGCAUUUAGAAGUGAAAGCUUUUAUGCUUUGUUUAAACUUUACAAAAGGGUUCUUGUGGGUUUGAUCCACUUGAGCCGCCGUUAUACUUGUGUAGUUUGUGUUUAUAUUGGUGAUAUUAUAUACAAAAAUGCCUGUUAUAGAUGAGGCUCUUAUCAUUGUGAGUUACGGUGCCACGAACUUAAUUGUAAGCUGGAUAGAUGACCAUUCUGGAGAUAAAACUGAUGGAUUUGCUUUUGGUUGCAUGCUUUCAUUACAUCAACAACAUCAGAAAACACUUGUAUUGGGAAAUACAGAAUGGUAACAAACAUCUAUUGACAUAAGGACCUCUUUUAUAUAACCUUGCUUAUGAUGAAUUUUAAGAGUGCAGACUUAAUGGUUCUUAUUAUGGAUUUGAUGUACUUGUUGAAUUGUUAUGAAAUGCUUAUUCCAGAAUGAGACCCACUUCUUGGAUUUUACAGUACCACCUGCCCUGGGAGCUGACCAAUUUCCUUAAGGUUGCAUUAUAUCAACUAUUUAGGGACAAGUUCAUUGGGAAAUACAAAAUGAUCACAGAGUGCUAUCGACAUUAGGACCUAAAGAAUGCCUAUGAGUCACAGCUCUCAGUUUUUUUUUUGAACCACCAAAUGACUUGAGUAGCUUCCAAAUUUUUAGUGUUGAGACAUUGCUGGAAUUCUGAUAUCUAUGAGUGAAUGCUAUCGUUGAGGUUGGGAGAAAAAAGGUUCUACUGCCGUGUCUUAGCCUCCUGUGAAUCAAUGGGAGGUGAAAAGAAGGGUUGAAGGAUUGACACAGGAUUACCCAACUAUUUGUUUUCUCCAAGCGCCCACCAGAUUUUGCUUCUAGGAUGGAGCUUGUGGUUCAGAGUCUGCCAAUCUAUAUUCCUUUGAGUUGUUUUGGAAAUUACUUAGUGACUUGUCAACCAGUUCUUAAGAAACUUGCUCAAAGUUUGGAAAUUUCCUUAUUCAUAAGAAGUUCGGUUGGCCAAAUUAGAUGAAAUGCCCAUUUGGUUUGGAGUCUGAUGGGGCAAUCUAUAUUCCAUUUUUUGUGGGUGUCAGUUAUUCGUGUUGUUACUGUAAGUGUUACCUGGUCUUGUUACAGAAAGUAAUGCUGAUUCUUUUUACUGGAAGUCUGCACUUUCUUUACCUGGAGCUCAUUGAUGCAGCCUGCAAGGAACUUGAGGCACUUGUCGUGCCCAUCACAGACUGUUUGGUUUACAGGAAGGUGGCACUGUACCAGAGCUUCGGGGUGCUGAGGACUGAGGGUGAGCUGUUUAAGGAGUUCAAGAUGCAGCUAAUGGUACUGCUCAUCUCUCAAGAAACAUAGAAAAGUUCUGAUUGUUCUUUGAGGUGAUGACUCUUGAAGUUUGCGAGGUUACAGGGCGAACUGUGAUUAUAGUGAAUAGCUUGCAGAAGAACACCAUGCCAAGGUGCUCUGUCUUGAGCAUGUAGAUGGAGUGGAAGAUUAAGCAAAAUACAAUGUUGCUUCAUGCAUUGAUCUGGGCUUGUAAGAUCUCUGAGAGGUAUGUGUUGAGGUAUGCCCGUGAUGUGCCACAUGUUGUCAAGGCAUAUGAGGGUAAACUUAAAUUCGAAGGAUUCAGAAAUUCGGAUGUUUUGAGUUUCAGAUCUUCUAGAAUGAAAUCACUAUUUGUUUGGUGUUUAGCCUCUAAUACAAAUACUACAUUAGUCAUAUUGUUAAUCUAACACUGUUAAUUUUGAUAUUUUACUUAAUUUGUUGGAUCAUCAACAUUCGCAGUUCAGCUCUUUUGCCAUUGUUGGAUCAUCAACAUGUCUUGUACAAAUCUAGGAAUGCAGGCACUGUGAUCUUGCCAGAACUCUGCUUUGUCUAGUAUGUUGAACCGGUUCAUUCAGUCAUUCUAGUAUUGUUAGGACAGUUCUUUGAUAUGCAAUGAUUCUGUGAUAUCCUCGCUAAAAAAAGACCGAGUUUGUGAUGUAUUGAUUUUUAAAACGUUCUUCUACUGCUUAGCUGAUAAAUCCCCAUUUCGUUGGGAAUUGUCACUUUUGAUCUGUUCCAAAAGGUAUUGUGCACUCUUUAAGUCUGGAUAUAAAUUAUUGACGUGCCCGUCUCCAAGAUGUAAUGUUCAGAGUUGAGGAUUUAAAGUUGUCUGUUCAAUCAAACUCUGAUGUUAGUACUUACGCACAGAAUAUUGUCCACCUCCAUCCAGUUUUUAUUUUAGGACUCGUAAGAUUUCAUAUCUGCCAGCUGUACUCAGUCCACCAGGAUGGUAGAUUUGUAGGUGGGGAAGAUUGUGGUAGAUUUGUAGGUGGGGAGGAUUGUAAGAUUAAAAACCUGAAUGGUAAUACAGAGACGCAACGAAUGGUAAUACAGAGAUGAAAGGUUUAGAUAGGUUCGGGUCUCUGAAGAGUAAUACCUGUUCUGGUGGACUGUAUCGCUGGUAUGGGAUGCGAAGAAUUCAGAUGGGAUGAGUUGAAGUGAGUUACCCUCAGGGGUGUUCUUGGUCGCUUUAUAUAGACUGACGACCUAGGGUUACAAGUCGGAUAGGAUCUAAUUCGCGCUGUGCUAAAAAAAGGAAAAAAAUUGAAGCUUCCAUAGGCGUAUGACCAAAUGCACAUGGCUAUGCGACUGCCGAGCUUCGAGAUGUCUGGCAUCUUGUAGAUCGAAGGGAAGCACAUGGAGGGUGUUGCAAGACGCACUCCAUACGGAGUAGCCCCCGAGCGUUGAAGUGAUUAAAGUAAUCGGUCCAAUGGUCAAGAAAAUGAUAUAUUGUUUCCAUAGCAAAACGAAUCUCAAUACAGCGCCCAACCCCUCGAGUGCGCAGACUAGCGGAGCCACGGAGGUACGCCGACCUGAGAUAGCCAUCUCGCCCCGAGCGUGAGGACUGGUGGAGCCACGCCGACAUGAAAUAGGCGCCCAGCCCCCGAGCACGAGGACUGGCGGAGCCACGCCGACCUGAAGUCUGUGGCGCUCAACCCCCAAGCUUGAGAGUCGGACGAGCCGCGAAAGCACGCCAAGUCACCUCCCGCACCCAGCCCUCGAGCCUGGGAGGUCGCUGGGUGGCAUGAGGCAUGCCGAGUCAUCCGUAGCGUCCAGCCCCCGAGCUUGGGAGCCGGCCGAGUCGUCUCCAGCGCCCAACCCCCGAGCCUGGGAGCCGUCCGAGCGGUGAAAGCACGCCAAGUCAUCUCCCGCCCCGAGCCUGAGAGGUCGGCUGAGCUGUAGGAGGCACGUCGAGUCGCCUUCCGCACCCAGCCCCCGAGCUUGGGAGGUCGGCCGAAUGGCAGGAGGCUCGGUCGCCUCCUACGCCCAGCCCCUGAGAUUGGGAGGUCGGCUGAGGGCCAGGAGGCAGGUCGAGUCGUCUGUGGCGCUCAGCCCUCGAACCCGGGAGUCGAACGAGCUAUGGAAGCACACCAAGUCACCUCCCGCACCCAGCCCCCAAGCCCGGGAGCCGGACGAGCCAUGAAAGCACGCCAAGUCACCUCCCACACCCAGCCCCCGAGCCCGGGAGCUGAACAAGCCACGGAAGCACGUCAAGUUGCCUCUCGCACCCAACCCCCAAAGGUUGGCCGAAAACGGGAGGCACACUGAGUAGUUUUCGGAGUUGUGAAAGCACAAUGCAAAGAUCAUGUAGCAUGACGUAGAGCAUUUAAUAAUUGAAUAACUCGGAGUUUUAUUUGGCAUAGAAGUAAAUUCUUGCGCAUCCUCUCUUGUAUGCCAUGUAAUUUCCUUAAGUAAUUAGCCUGUUAUGUUUAAGCAGCUAGCCUUGCUUAGCUAGCAGUUUGCUGAGAGUGGAUCUCGAGCUUGUAGACGGGGCAUCACAAGAUGAGUCGAGGUUUCACGGAUUAGAGCGUGUGUUACCCAAGUACUUUAGCAACCGUUAAGAGAGACGGACAAACCGUAAAGCAGUUGGAACUAUGCGGAAAAGCAAAGAGCGUGCGUUGGGCACUCACAGUGCGCAACCCUCGAUUGCCUGUGUAGUGGACGGACCAAUCUGUAUAAACAGUUGGAGAUGUGAUCAGGGUGAUGGGCGAAAGUCGCAGAGAUAUAAAAGAAUUGAGGUAUGUGAAGAUAUACGGAAGCUGUAAAAUGUUUAAUUGAAUAUAUGACUUAGUUUGAUUUCGUGGCUAAGUCGGAGAAUAGGCGGGGUUCGUCCAUGAAGCGUGGUUGCCGUCGGGCACGUCGCUGGCAAGUCGCCAGCAGGCUUGGUUGAUGCCGAAUCGCUGCUGUCUCUCAGUCGUUAGAACGUUUGCCGGCCAUCUUGUGUCUAAGGUAGCGCGAGCCCAUCUUUGCCGCGCCACAGCUUUAUACAUUCGUCCGUACGUCGAUGAUCCCAGGUGCCCUGGUACCUGAUUCGAUUGCAGACAAAAACAUUGGCCAAUGCAAUGCAAUGGAACGCUCAUUGGCCAAUGGAAAUAAUUAGAGUACAACUGGCCGAUUGAACUUAAGAAAGAAAAUCAGAGAUAUGCUCCCUGUUUCACGUAUGGUCUUUGUAGAUUGAUUUUGUAGGUCGCAUUUAGACGAGCGCGGAGUCGACGCCGAGGACAGAUGAGUUGGUCCGGAUGCCUCAGCCGACGUAGAUGGGGUCCUGGGCGGUGGCCGGCUUGGUACUUGCCCCAUCCUCGGUGCGUAAUCGUCGUGGCGAAUGGCGCAUGAAACCAGGCGGUACUCGAUUGGAGAGAGAAAAGCCGUAUGCACCAAUUGUAAAUGAGAGAUCGAUAUACUGCAAAAUUGGACCGACCUAAUUCCAAUUCGUAGAACGACUCACCCGAUUAGUACUGCCAUCAAGCUCACUAGGAGGAUUCGGCGAUCACUCCUACCCAAUCCACCAACUAUCGGAUUUAGUGACCGAAAGUGCAUCAGGGGUUACCCAAGUGGUAGAUUUGUAGGCAGGGAAGAUCGUAAGACCAAAAACUCGAAUGAUAAUACAGAGACGCAAGGUUUGGACAAGUUCGGACCUCCGAAGAGUAAUGCCCUACGUCCUGUGUUCUGGUGGAUUGUAUUGCUGGCAUGGGAUGAGUUGAGGUGAGUUACCCUCAGGGGUGUCCCUAAUCAUCUUAUAUAGGCUGACGAUCUAAGGUUACAAGUCGGACUAAUCCUAGUCGGUGGCUACAUGAAAAAUAAUCUGAGUUGGACAACAACAAUUAUCCCGCGAUAUUCAGACUGAAUUGAUUUAUGCAGCCAAUGGUCCGAUGAAUGGUCCAUCAACUUCCUAUUGAACUGCAGGCCCAUUAUGCCCAUUGUCAUCAGCAGGCCCAAUUGGCCACUAUCCCCACUUAUUUCCAUUGCCCUGAACAUUCUCAUUAGCAUUUGCAUUGCUCUAAUCCUGCACAUUACCAUUCACCUGACCAUCCCUGCCCAUUAACAUUCAUAUUUGGCGAUCCAUUCCUAGGCUGCCCAAAACCAAAGAAUUGAAAGAGAUUUGGCUGUAUUUCAUCGGGACUAUGAGGCUGAGAUCAGAAGGAGCACCUCCCAACAUGGUUGCUUGAAAAAUCUCACACUGAGUUGUCUAGGAUUCACCCUCAAAACCCUCACCAUCAGAGCAAACAAUAAACUAAGGAAUUUCCUCCAGAUUAACCACUCUUGCUUUGACUAAAACCCUUGCUAAAUGAUUAAAGGUUUUACAAUAUCCUUAUGGGUCCAGAAAUCAUUAUUGAAUCCAAGAAGCAUAAGCCAGACUUCAUAAUUCAUGUUAACAGACUUAUUAUUCCAACCUUUAGUAUGCUCCACAAAAAAAAUUCUCGUAUCACCAUUGUUAUGUGGGCUACUUGCAAUCAAGAAAUCCCUAUCAUGAAAAUGAUUGAAGCGAACAAAGGCCUUACCAAAGGGCAUGGCUGAAUAGUGCGAUAGCCUAAACGCUUUUGAUUCCUUAGAAAAUCAUCGAACACUUCCCUAACAGAGUGGAAGGAUACCUGUUGUUCUGGAAGAGGCUCGAUCAAAGCAAUGGCGAGGUCACUGUUCCUGUCGCGGAGGCCGCCCAAAACGACCCUGGACAUCACCUUCCUAUGCGGAAGCAUCACUCGAUUGCAGUUUGGGGGCAUGAAUGGUGCAUGGUCAAUAAACUUGUAGGUCGUGAUUGCCCCGUGACAAUCGGAAUCUGCCAAAGGGGUAGGUAAUGUAGCAACGAUUAGGGUUUUCUCGGUGGCGGUGGGAGGCUGUGUAGCUGUUGUGGGGUCUGUUCGCUUCAGCUUAUAAGCCGGCUGAAAAGCUGAAACGGCUGAUUUGUUGUGAGAGGAAAACACUGUUUGGUGGCUGAUAAGCCGGCUGAAUAAGCUGAAGCGAAUAGGCCGGUGGAUAGUUGAUCAGAAGCGUGAUGCGAUGAGAAUGUAGCUUGGAUGCGGACGCUUGAGGCUAGCCGAAGCUCAAGGUCAUCAUUGCAAGGCAAGGCUGGAGGCGGAUGUGCUGCUGACGGAGCCGGCGAGGAAGAGAACUGGGGCAAGGUAGGCGAAGGGGCAUUCACUACCAAAGAUGAAGGGUCGGCCGUCUCAGGGCAGAAAUCGUCCCCAAACAAUUGACCGGUGCCAUUGACAAUUGGGACCCCAAAGAGCAUAACCUCAUCUGUCAUAUGCUGCUUGGACUUGAACCACCCUGCCGGAUUGGUGUGCCUCCACUGCAUAGGAUCAAUUUGGGAAGAGAAACCCUUUGCCGCAGCAGGAUCAGAUGCUCCACAAAGCAAAGAUGGUGUGCCUCCCCUGCAUAGGACCCUGAAGCAUGUGGAGCAUCUGAUCCUGCUGCGGCAAAGGGUCCUAGAGUGCGAAUUGGAAAAACACCUGAAGCAAGUUUGCCAGCCCACGACCCUUCCUGCCAUAAAGCCAAAUGAUUCUUGAUGAGCCACAUUAACUCCAGGGGCGCGAUUUGAGGGCCGGGAGCUAGGCAGAAAAGAAGGCCCAAGAUUGAGGCUCACAUCAACGCCAUUUGAAUUUGAAUUACUCAAUUCCCCUGUGUUCUUCGUUUAUUUCAUAUUUUUGACAGUCCCAAAAGAACUACGAAGAUCCGAAUCACUGAUGUUCCGAAAAUCCAAUUUGGAAAAAGCUGAAAUUCUCUUCUUCAUAGGGACACAAUUUGCACCAGUUAAAGGAGCAUCACUUUUAACUGCCUCAAUAAAAGAUUUAGUCCUCUUUUUAGGACCGAUUUCAACCCAGUGGAAAUUAGGCCCCCGAUCAGUGAGAACAGAAGAUCUAGCCACAGAUAAACCUUUUUCAUUCCAGAGAUGGAAGAAAAUCUUGAAAGUCGGACAAGCAAAGGACUUAAGAUCAUACACCAAAACACCAACAGCCUUGGGGGAGACACUGAAUUUGAAAAUGCCAUCUUCCAAUUCCACAACACAGAAAAGCUUCAACAAACCCCCAAGAACAGAUUGCAGAAUGCAACCAACAGAAGAUUCCAAAAGCUUAAUCCUUGAACGACUAAAAGCCGCAAUUAACCAGAAGUUGUCUAUCUCAUCCGGAUGAGAGGAAACCACCAAACCGCUAGUUUGAGUUCGUACCUUUGAUGAAAAAACGUGGCCCGGUUCCUGAUCCAGGAUAGAAGAAUCCAUGGGACGUCAGGGGAAAGACAGGAGAGCAAUAGAGAGAGAGAGAGAUGAACAUCGGGAGGAGGGUGGACGCCGGACCGGGUGGUCACCGGCGGUGGGAGGACCUGGAGGUUACUAGGGGGAUGAGAGUAACAUUUUAGCAACUUGUUGAAAACAUUUUAGUUUUCAAAACCUUGUGAAAGUUGUGAUUGUGUGAGUAUAUUCCAGCAUUCCACGCUGCAAAAGCUCUUGAGAGUGGUAUUUGGUUUCUUCGAUGUCUGAUGUGCUAGCUCGGUUCUCCUGUCCGAAAAACCGUAAGAAAAAAAAAGCCUAUUCACCUCCCUCAAUUCUCGUGGGAGUACAGUAUGUAUUUUAAUUUGUCCCUCAACUGUAAGGGCAUGUUCAACAAUUGAGACAGCUGCUGUCUAUAAGUGUUUUGAAAAUCGUAGACAGACUGAUAAUUGCUUUUUUUUGCCCUUUCAUUAGGUUUGAUGAAUGUGUCAUAGUAUUAAAUCCUUUAUUUUUGGGACAUAUCCACAACUGAGGUACCAGUCCAUAGGUACCAUCAGCAAGUUAAUUAUAUAGGAGUAAAGUGAAAUGGCUUAAUGGCUAUCAAGGAUUACAGUAAAACUAUAUGGCUUUUCAAGGUCCCUAUGCCUGUUAAAAUAGUUUAGGGCAUCUAUAGUAACUUGUUAACAGCAUAAAAGAUUGAAAAAAUUGGAUCCAAAACUAGACCGUCAGAGAUUUGGACUUAGGUCAACAAAAUAACUGCAGAGCCUGUACAAAAAUAAAUGCAGAACACAAAAUGCUAAACUGUACAAUAAAGGGUGCAACCAGUGGGAAACCGCAAAAUACAGAGAGACGUGUGGAAGGAAAAUUUGACACUAGAGAUAAAAGACAUCUCUCACUCAGCGUACCAACAGAAAGCCUUAUGGAUCUACCACAAUUCAAGAAUCAUUUUGUAUGAAGAACAAAAGAGGCCUCCCUGCAGCAUUUUCAAGGAUUUAUACAAAAGAGUUAACAGGUGAACAUAUCAUACCUACGAAUUAACAGGCUUUGCAGAACAAAUGGAGGACCACCCCAGGCUGCCAGACAUGAAGGACCUCAGCUAGUCAGCUCUAAGCAUAAUGCAAGAUAGUGCUACUGACAUUCUCUUUAUAAACACUGGAAUUAUAUGGCUGAUUGGCAAGUGCAUUCAAUAAAAAUGAAGUACAUUUGCGGAAACGAAGAUCAAGCUACCUUCAACAAAUGACAACAUCAUGAAAGCAUAUGGGUUUCAAGACUUGACGCCAUUGAAUGUAAAAUUCCAAUGGCUUAACACCACAUUUAUAACUACAGAGAUAUUGAGUCAAAUGGAUAAGAUUCUGACGUUAGACAAUGUAGAAUUAUCCUAACAUUACAAGCAGCAUCUGCCUUACCUACAGUGAUGUUACACUAAAUGACUGAUGCUUUGGCUAGUGGAACUUCAAUAUCAUCGUCCAGGAACCCUUUGAAUUUGAUCUUCCCCUCGUAUGCCCUAACAACAUCUGGCACGUCCUUCUCAUACUUCUCCACAUAGCUUCUAAAGAAAUCCUUGCUAGAUGCACGUAAAGGAGAGUACAGACUUAUGUCUCCCCGGAUCUUCCCUUCCCUCAUCAGCACGUUAAGAACAGCACAUUUAGGGAGGAUAUUCUUCUCCAGGCUCAAUGACAAUAAUUUCGGCCAUGCAAUCACCUGAGACAGAGCAAUCUUCAACUUGUCCCGGAAGAAGAGGAGCUUCCUCCGAAUCAUCUCAUCACUAAGCUCCAGUAACGGCGGCUGACUUCUGAAUGCCCCAACAACCUGGCUUUGAGAAAGCCCAAAGCUCUGGUAAAGCGCCAACCGACGCCAUCCUGUCCCCCUCUUGAAGUUGCACAUUGAAGAGAAGCACUUGACAAAGCAGGAGUCCGUCAUGGGCAGACCAAGGGCAUCAAGGUCCUCAAAGAUGCCGGCAAUGCGGUCGGGCGCCAAGCCGAGAACGCCCAUCUCUUUGAUGAGGAGCUUCGAGAUGGCCUCCUCGGAGAGACCGUGGCAGCGGAGGGUUUCCACGGCGGGGCGCAUAUGUUUCUCGAGGUCGAACCGGAAAGGCGUAGGGUAUGUGGGAGAUCGCAUUCGGAUGCCGGCGUCCGUGCCGAUGAUGCCGCGGAUGAAGUUGAUGCAGGGUACGAGAUGAUUAUCGAGGCUGCGCAAGAGGUGGUUUGUCUGGGUAAGAGCUGUGACGCCGACGCCUAGCGAGUCGAAGAACUCGAGCUUGGGCCGGAUGAUCUUUAUCGGCGUCAAGUAUUAGGAGAUCCGGGGAUAUGCUGAGCAACCGGGCGAUGUGGGCAUCGGAGGAGCCAUGGCGGCGGAGGAGGGCGAGUACUGCGUCCGCGUUGGCAGUUAAACGGAUGCGCCCUCGGGCGACGAGGGCGGCGGCGGUGGCGAGGGAGAGGCCGCAGGAGGCGACGAGGUAGGAGGCGGCGUCCGGAUCGGGGGAUCUCGCAAGGGGCACCGUAGAGUAGUAGGGAUGGAGGAAGCGGGCGGUGUGGGGCUGGGACUGGAUGGGACUUGUGCCGCCGUCUACCGCUGCGGUGGUGCCGCGGAUGAGGAGGGCGAGCCGCCGGCCGCCGGUUGAGGGAAACAUGCCGGGGUUCUGAAGGAGUGGCGGCGGCGCUGAGGAAGUGGAAAGCGACACUGGAGUGGAGUAGUGGGCGCAGGCGUCCAACUGGCCUCGAUUUUUUUUUUUUCGAAAGGACCUCGAAUUGUUGUUUGGGCUCGUUUUGAGAAGAUUUGGUGUUUGGAGCUUCAAAUGAUAUUUUUACUACUUGCAUUUUCGUAGUACCUGCUAGCUAUAAUUAGUUUAUUAGUAUUGUUUUUUUUCAGGACAUUGAGUUUAGUACACGCAGUCUUGAAGGAAUUUUAAUGACUUUUGUCAAAUUUUUGUAAGUUCCUACUUGAUUGCUAUUUUCAAAGUAAAAGAAAAACUACAUUUUAAGGGUAUGAACCACAAGAUGCAAUUCGGGUAAGUACAAAAAAUAUGCCUAAUGAAUACUAGCAUCCCUCAAGCUUUUCUUGACAUUUAGCAACGAUUUGUGAAACCUUAUCCAACAAAUUACAGAAAAAAAAAA